rnacentral:lncRNA from 1 species
UUUUUUUUUGCGUAAACCCCAGCUUUGGCCUCGCCGAACGAGAUUUCCAGAGAAAAGCCAACUCCAGGAGCUUUCCUUUGUCCCCCCCACACCACCAGACGGAAAGCGAAAGAGGUUCGUUUGCUUUCCAGCCCCAAAGUUGCAAAUGCAACGCCGCCCGCUCAUGGAUGGAUGGACGGGUGGCGUUCAGGUUUAGGCGGACGACCACUGGUAUGCCGUGCCUGGCGAGAACCUGCGAGGCUACGACGGCAUUUUUCUCUCAGGGGAGAAGAAUCAAUCCCCCGCGAUGCCUAUGAGGCCAUGAUCGCUCGAUUUGUCAAAGGCUACCUAAAGAAAAAGCCUAAAACGGCAUCGCGAAAAUGGAGCAUUUGAGGAGGGGCCAAAGUCACGGGCCCUACUACGAGGCUACGACGAUCAUCCAUCCUACGGCGUGUGCGCUCCGUCCCUCCGAAUCUGCCUUUCCGGCCGGCGUCGCCGUCGCAAUCAUCACGGAGUGGCAACGCGACGCGCACCGCGAAUCUAUCUACCUCUCCUGCGACGGACAACUCCUUGCGAGACACAGCCGAUCUACCGGCCAAGGCGCUGCACGGCCACCCUGGGCGCCGUACGUACGCGCGCACCCUGCUCGCGCCCACGCGGCCGCGACCGCACACGAGACGAGCACAGUGCAAUGCAGGGCUGCUCGGUCCGUGUCGCGGCAGGGCAUGGCAGGAGCGGACGCGCACGGGACGGGACAAAACAGGACACCGAGCGCCCGCGCCCAGAGCGUUGGCUCCGGCACGCGGGCACGUGCCGCCUGCCAGCCCAGCCCUAGCGCUCUGCCCCCUCGAGGCCGAGCCGAGGGAGGGACACCUCGCCGUCGCCACGACCGAUGCUCGACCUUUCUUUCUCCACCGACCCCGCGGCGCAUUCCACGGCUGUCCCCGAGCUGGCCUCCACCCCACUCUCACUCACUCGGCUCCGCUCCUCUCACAAAGCGAGAAAGCAACAAAGAAUUCCUCUCCUCCCCUCGCCUCGAGAUGCUGCCAUACGCGUGGUGUGCUUCUACAGUACCACCAGCGGUUUUUUAAAGGUGACCAGGCCAGGCCAGAUCUGGAGCAGAGCGCCCCGCCCAGCCUCAGAUCCAUUCCGCUUCCGUCCGCGUGAUGCACGUACGAACGAGCACGAGCAUUCUUCUGCGACCUACUACGUACUACUACUACUAUACCAAUACGUGUACGAUAUCACGUACGCUCUUCAAGAUCCGAUCUGCCGGAGCAAGAGCUAAAAAUCAUGCUACGAGCUGAGCAGCAGUAGUAGUAACGAGGAUGCAGGAAGGGCACAGUAAAAGUAAAAGAAUAAUGAUACAUAUGGUGAGAUGAAUUAACCGGGGGAUUGUACAAUGGAACGGACAUGGAUCAAACACCACCACCAGCGACGACGACGACCAAACAAUCAGAUCUGUCCAUCCACGCCCAACACACACAUACUGCUACUGGUAACCGAAUCGAAUGCCGAAUGUAAUCAUCAUCAAAGCAACAAAAAGAAGGAAGAUGAACAGCUCGAAGAACACCACCACAAAAGGAGAGGGAGCGGGGCCCCUCGGAUAAAUUAAAUCGCAGCCGAUCUGCGGAUCUCUCAGUAGAAGGCGGCGGCGGCGGCCACGGCGGCGGUGGCGACCCACGCAGCGGCGGGGUGGACGGUGCCGGCGGCGCCGGCGGGGGUGGUGGGCGUGUCCAUUGACGGGGCGGGGGCGGNNNNNNNNNNNNNNNNNNNNNNNNNNNNNNNNNNNNNNNNNNNNNNNNNNNNNNNNNNNNNNNNNNNNNNNNNNNNNNNNNNNNNNNNNNNNNNNNNNNNNNNNNNNNNNNNNNNNNNNNNNNNNNNNNNNNNNNNNNNNNNNNNNNNNNNNNNNNNNNNNNNNNNNNNNNNNNNNNNNNNNNNNNNNNNNNNNNNNNNNNNNNNNNNNNNNNNNNNNNNNNNNNNNNNNNNNNNNNNNNNNNNNNNNNNNNNNNNNNNNNNNNNNNNNNNNNNNNNNNNNNNNNNNNNNNNNNNNNNNNGGGCGCGGGGGCGGGUGCGGCGGGCGCCGGCGCCGGGGGAGGGGUGGCAGGGGCCACGGCCGGCGGGGGGGACACCGGCGCCGGGGUCGGCGGCGGCAUCAUCGGAGGCGGGGACACCGGGGCCACGGGCGCGGGCAGCGGGGUGGCCGCCGGGGCCUGGGCCGCGGUGGCGGCGAAGAGCAUGGUCAGGGCCAGAGCCACGAGCUGGAUGCGCGCCAUUGGAGGAGUGGAGAGGAGAGCUUGAGCUUGAGCUUGGGUUGUGGAUUCUGCUUUUGCUCGAGGUGGUGGUGGUGGUGGUGUGUACUGUAAUGGUGUCCGAGACGGUAUUGGGCCGGGAGUUUAUAAAGGGGCCGCGGACGGGGCUACGACGAUGAAUUACGUGCACUAUCAGGGGCCUUGAUGCUAAUUUCCAUGCUGGGUAGCCGUCCGAUCGACAUCCAACAGCCGGUCUGGGUGGAAAGCUUCAACUCUUUUUUCUUCUCCGAACUUCUGACUUCUGAACGGCAACCAAGUUUUUUUCCAAACGAGCAGAAAAAUCUAGCUCAAUCCCAACAGCUGGCAGGCAUAAUUUUCUUUCUUUUAGUUCACGGGAAAUUCUCCCGCGAUCGCCUUGCCUAAUUUUGCUGAUUAUUUGCUGUUUCUCGUUAUGGUUCACGCGUAGUUCUGGUCGACGGUGAGCUGGGUUUCUCUUCCUGUUUUGCCUUGCCCAAUUUUGUCUUCGGUCGAUCAAUGUAAAAUGGCACGUAGCUAAUGAGCCAAUUGGCCCACGCGUUUGCGGCGUUCUUUACAGCGAUAAUAAAAUGUCAGAUUUCAAAACAAUGUUACUUUCCAAAGUCAAGGCCACGCGUAAAUGUGAAAUAGCAAGUGGUAUUUGCUAAUGAGCCGAUUGGCCCACGCGUUUGCGGAGUUAUCUCAUCGAGUUUUUCUUUACAAGGUAAUAAAAAAUCAGAUUUCAAAAACAAAGUUAUUACAAAGUCAAAGCGCUUUUUCUCGCAAUUACGUGGAUGACGCACACGCGCAAACCUGAAAUAUCAAGAAGUACUGUAUUUGCUAGUGAGUCGAUUGGCUCACACGAUUGCGAUGUUUGUGCAUCGAGUUUUCUUUACAAGGAUAAUGGAGGUCCAUUUUCAACAGCAAGGUUGCCUCCAAGGUCAAGGUGCUUCUUUAUGCAGCUACAACACACAUGUAGACACGCACACACACGCACUUGGAACCUUGUAAAUUUGGAGAAUUUCUUUUCUUUUCUUUUUUAGGGUUGGUUCAGCCCAUCUACCCGUAAAAGUAAACACUUGUGACUUUGCCAUGUUUAGUUGAGGUAAGAGGGUGCUUGGAUCCAAGAGACUUAUUUUAGUCUGACUAAAAAUAGUCUCUUUAAUAGGCUAAAGUUCCAAGCACCCCUGACUAAAGAGGGGCUAAAACUAGUCUUGAGACUAAAAAAAUUUAGUCAGGGGUACCCCUAUUAAAAUGUGGAUUAGUCCUCUCUCCUCAUUUAACUCCCCUCACUACUAGAAAAAGGCUUAUUAGUGGCGCACCAGUUUUGCCUACUAAUGGCGCACUACUGGUGCGCCACUAGCAUCACGCCACUAGUAAUUUUUACUAAUGGCGCACCGCUGGUGCGCCAUUAGUAUCUGGUACUCUAAUGGCGCACCGGGCAGUGCGCCAUUAGUAUAGGCCCCGGUGCGCCAUUAGUAUGCCUCCCAGUGGGCAUGUGCUUUGCCAUACUAAUGGCGCACUGCUGGGUGAUGCGCCAUUAGUAUCCUUUGGCAUACUAAUGGCGCACGUUUGGGUGAUGCGCCAUUAGUAUGUAUAUUAGGGAUUUUUUUUUCUUUUCUGAUAUUUGCACAGAUUACAAAAUAUAUUAUUGGACAGAAUAUAAACAACACCACACAGCAACAGCAGAUUCAUCGAAUACAAUAGAAGAUUAGUCUCCGAAUACAAUUCAUCAUAUUAGUCUCCGAAAUCAAAAGACCGAACAAAGAUAGAACAUUACAAGUCUCGAGACCGCGAGUAGCGAGUUUGUCGAAAUUAAUACUAAUCCUAACAAGUCCUACUAAUCAUCAUCAUACAACUUCUACUCGUUAUUAAUAACAAGUCAUACGAUCAUCAUCCUGAUAGUCAUCGAACCAACCCUACUUAAUUGUUCUUAGCACAUGAUCAUCAGUAUUAGGCAGGACCUAAAAUACCCUAUUUAAGGUAAAAUAGCAUAAAACGAUAUAGACCCUGACUCUCCAUUAUGGAGAAUGGAGAUCAUCCUGUCUCCAAUUCUUGCGCGGCGCUUCCUUUUGCUUCCAAGAACCUCCUUACGACUGUCCAUACAUUUUUUCUAUUCUCUGAUUAGCAUGUCUCCACUUCUUCUAGAAAUCCGGUAUGGACAGUUGAGAUUUGUAGGAUGACCUGGAUAUAAGUUCAAAACUUGAAGGCUGCCAUUCUGAUACAUCAAAUGAGGCACACAAUCCUCUGGGAUUCUCUGUUGAAAAACAUAGUAAUAACUUCAUAGUUAGCAAUGAUGUACUAGUUUUAGAAGUAUGCAAAAGAUGCACGGAUGUCGUAAUAGUAAAAAAUCUUAUCAGGGUAUCUCCAUGGUAGUUACCGUAGUUCAACACGUGCACUAGUGGCACGUAUUGACCAUAAUGUUGAGGAGUUUGAUUGUAGAUAUUGUAAUUCUCAAGAUCAGUACAAAAUCCGACCAGAUGAUUUUUCUCCUGAUAAGUUAACUCGGAGCCAUCGGUGUAGUGGGUUUUGUCUACCAUUUUCCGCACAUUUUUUGAACAAUCAAAAUAAGCUGUCAAUGGAAAUAAGUUGUCAACUAUUUUGAAAUAAACAAUAUAGAUUAGUUAAUAAUUAACUAUGUUUGAGAAACUCACAUAGCGGUAGAACUGGAGGCGUAUCAACAAGGACCCAAAUGUCCAUAUUGUCUUGGUCGAUGCCAGGAUCACCAAGAUCCAUGGUGACAAGCAUACCCUCAUCAAAACCAUACAUCUUGCAAAAUGCUUCCCAAUUUUUGCAACCAAAAUGGGUUACGCUCUCAGCAUUAUAUAGAUUUACUUCAAAAUCCACAUCAUGAUGUGUCCUUAGGUGAAUUUUCUUUGUUUCAAAAUUUUCAUGAUCUUCAAAAUCCAUCCUCUCCAAGACAUAGCGUCUUGCAUGGCAUGGGAUAAACUAUACUCGAAUUGUAAAAGAUGAAAUUACACGUUGAAAUAGUUGAAGUCAUGCUUAAUUAUGCAAAAAAUACUUGUCGUCGUUGCGUACCGUUUCAAUUUCGAAGGUCUCCUCGAGCUUAAUGCUGAAGCGCCGAUCAUCGUCCAGGUGAGGCCUGUCGCACAGACCUCGACCGUCGUGGCACCAGUCGCACUCCCCCGGGAGACUUUCGUCGUCCGAUGACGACAUUUCCUAUGUUCAUAAUUCAAAACUACAUCAUCUCUGUUGGGUCCAAUAAGAUAAUCCACAGUGUGGUGAAAACACGCCCAUCCAAAUAGAAUAUGUGGUAUGGGCUUUUUUAGUAGGUCAUCCUACCAGAUUAGGGUUUAUCGAUGACGAGCAACUGACAUUAGUAAUAACUAUGAGUAGAUAUCACACUUCUAUAUGAAUAACACAAGAGGCAGUUGAUCCUACUUAAUUAAGUACUAAGAUACCCCGGCCCAUGCAUUAGUCGGAAGUGCCCCAUAUGUCCUAUUUUUAGCAAAGUCAUGCUAAAAUUCACGGAAAAUUUCAGCAUGACCUUUGCUGAAAAUAGGACAUAUGGAGUACCCGAAUUUGCCAGAACGAAAGUUAAUCGACAUUCCGGCAAACUCAAGGGCCUCUCGGGGUACCUGCAAAAUCAUCACGACACGAUGGUCGCAGACAAAACCCAGCAAACUAGCAAUUGAUGGAUCAACACGUAAAACAUGUCCAAUAAGAGCAUAUAAUUCAACAACUCCACUGAAAAUGAGAGCUGAAAGAUGCAGGGAGCACAAACAGCUCAGAAAAAGGAUGCAGGGAGCACAAAGAGCUACACUCUGAAUCUUUUAUCUAUUUAUACAUGUAAAUUAGCACUCCGAUGCUGGCCUUGACAAAUGAUCCCACUAUGUUGUUUGCUGGAAUCUGCAAAAUGAUCCCACUAUGUUGUUUGCUGGAAUCUGCAAAAUGAUCCCACUAUGUUGUUAUACUUGAGAACACUGUAACAAAAUCAAAACCACAAUAAACAGUGGUCAAAUACAGAAGAAGGAACAAUUUAUUUGUACUAUAAAAAAGGUUAGAGAGAAAAGUUAAUGAGGAUGAGUCACAUAAACCAAUUCAGAUCACUCCCUCCCCAACACUGGCAAUGCUCACUAGAUCUUUAUAAACCUGGGUACUUGUUUGGGAUAAAAAUAAUAGAAGGGAUUUCAGGAAGGAGUUCAAAACAUAUAACAUUGGAGGGUUAGAUUCAAUUUAACCUCUUGUACCUCCUGUACAUGUGUGAAUUAAGGAGUAGCAAGCACAGGAACAACAAAAUUCAGAGAUGACAGAAAAUCAAGGCACAAAUUACACAGAACCAUGAAGCUAAAAUAUAACUAUUUAAAUCAAGGCACUAUUAGAAAAGACAACAUAGUUCAGUAAAGUCAUGAACAUAAAUACUGCAGAAUUUAGAGACCACUUAGUACUGUAAAUUCAGUUAGCAACAAGACAGAGAAAUUGCACUUAGAUUUCAAAGAAAAAUAUGACUACUCCACACUGUAAAUCAUCAACAUUGACACUGUAAUAACUGUAUACUCCACACUNNNNNNNNNNNNNNNNNNNNNNNNNNNNNNNNNNNNNNNNNNNNNNNNNNNNNNNNNNNNNNNNNNNNNNNNNNNNNNNNNNNNNNNNNNNNNNNNNNNNNNNNNNNNNNNNNNNNNNNNNNNNNNNNNNNNNNNNNNNNNNNNNNNNNNNNNNNNNNNNNNNNNNNNNNNNNNNNNNNNNNNNNNNNNNNNNNNNNNNNNNNNNNNNNNNNNNNNNNNNNNNNNNNNNNNNNNNNNNNNNNNNNNNNNNNNNNNNNNNNNNNNNNNNNNNNNNNNNNNNNNNNNNNNNNNNNNNNNNNNNNNNNNNNNNNNNNNNNNNNNNNNNNNNNNNNNNNNNNNNNNNNNNNNNNNNNNNNNNNNNNNNNNNNNNNNNNNNNNNNNNNNNNNNNNNNNNNNNNNNNNNNNNNNNNNNNNNNNNNNNNNNNNNNNNNNNNNNNNNNNNNNNNNNNNNNNNNNNNNNNNNNNNNNNNNNNNNNNNNNNNNNNNNNNNNNNNNNNNNNNNNNNNNNNNNNNNNNNNNNNNNNNNNNNNNNNNNNNNNNNNNNNNNNNNNNNNNNNNNNNNNNNNNNNNNNNNNNNNNNNNNNNNNNNNNNNNNNNNNNNNNNNNNNNNNNNNNNNNNNNNNNNNNNNNNNNNNNNNNNNNNNNNNNNNNNNNNNNNNNNNNNNNNNNNNNNNNNNNNNNNNNNNNNNNNNNNNNNNNNNNNNNNNNNNNNNNNNNNNNNNNNNNNNNNNNNNNNNNNNNNNNNNNNNNNNNNNNNNNNNNNNNNNNNNNNNNNNNNNNNNNNNNNNNNNNNNNNNNNNNNNNNNNNNNNNNNNNNNNNNNNNNNNNNNNNNNNNNNNNNNNNNNNNNNNNNNNNNNNNNNNNNNNNNNNNNNNNNNNNNNNNNNNNNNNNNNNNNNNNNNNNNNNNNNNNNNNNNNNNNNNNNNNNNNNNNNNNNNNNNNNNNNNNNNNNNNNNNNNNNNNNNNNNNNNNNNNNNNNNNNNNNNNNNNNNNNNNNNNNNNNNNNNNNNNNNNNNNNNNNNNNNNNNNNNNNNNNNNNNNNNNNNNNNNNNNNNNNNNNNNNNNNNNNNNNNNNNNNNNNNNNNNNNNNNNNNNNNNNNNNNNNNNNNNNNNNNNNNNNNNNNNNNNNNNNNNNNNNNNNNNNNNNNNNNNNNNNNNNNNNNNNNNNNNNNNNNNNNNNNNNNNNNNNNNNNNNNNNNNNNNNNNNNNNNNNNNNNNNNNNNNNNNNNNNNNNNNNNNNNNNNNNNNNNNNNNNNNNNNNNNNNNNNNNNNNNNNNNNNNNNNNNNNNNNNNNNNNNNNNNNNNNNNNNNNNNNNNNNNNNNNNNNNNNNNNNNNNGAGGGUGCGGUGGAUCGUCGGCGGCGGUGGAGCAGGGGAGCUAGGGUGCGGUGGGUCGUCGGCGGCGGUGGAACGGGGGAGGGUGCGGGGGCUCGGCGGUGGCGCCCGGUGGAGCGGGGUAGAGGGUGCAGGGGGUGCUCGGCGGCGAGGGGGACCGGAUCUGGCGAGGUGGGAUAGCGAUCGAGAUGGAGGGGGAUCGAGAUCAAGUGUCCAUGAAAUAUACACUAAUGGCGUACGGGGGAGCAGUGCGCCAUUACUAGCUUAAACUAGUAAUGGCCCCUGGUGCGCCAUUAGUAGUUUUGCAAAAAAGUAAAAAAUAAAAAAAAUAUUGUAGUGGCGCACUAUGCUGCUGGUGCGCCAUUACUACUAGUUACAACUAGUAAUGGCGCACUAUGUCCUGAUGCGCCAUUAGUAUGUCUGGCAAAAAAAAAAUUGUUGCUAAUGGCGCACCGUGUGUCUGGUGCGUCAUUAGUGUAUUUCACACUAAUGGCGCACCAGCACAUGGUGCGCCACUGCUACAUAGCAAUGGCGCACCACAUGUCUGGUGCGCCAUUAGUGGCCAUUCCAUCUAUAGCCUUUUUCCUAGUAGUGCCUCCUUUAACACAGGCGAGUUCUUGAUUCGAGGGUUUGAAGGAUAAUAAAUGCUCAUUAACUUGAUUUUAGUCUCUUCAGUAUUUGAAUUCAAGCAUGGGUGAGGCUAGCAAGUUUUAGUCUCACUACUUUUAGUCAUGAGACUAAAACGUAUCAAGCACCCUCCAAGGAUGUAGAAAAUAACCAUCAACCGAAUGCGACUGACUCAUUCCAAGAUGGUUUACCGAUUUACGUGUGUGGUUCACCCUGUACGAUCGGACCGAGUAUGCGAGUGUCAAAUCAUCAAACAUCGUCAUCUUUCUCAUCCAAAGAUCAAUAACCCGCAUUGUCUCAUCAUUUCAUGAUGUAUUGCGUUGCCUGAUAUACAUCAUAUUUUUUGCUCAGUAAAUAAAACUUGCAAAACUAGCAAGAGGCUGUACAUUGUGUAUGUUAGUAUGUGUGCACGCGCACGUCGUGGGGCACUUAUAAGGAAAAACGUCUUUCUAGAAAAAUAGCCAUAAAAUAGAGCUCCUUGUUUUGAUCAUUUCAUGAUAGCAUCAACCAGCUAAGAUUGGUUGCCUACAUAAUUAACACCUUCGGAAUGAAAUGAUUGGUUUGGUGCCGAUCAAUGGAGCGCACGUUGCCCACACCAAUUCUAUAUUGAGCCGUUGGUAGAUGAUUGGGUUGCUAUCAGCGUUUCUCCAUCAAAAUUUUGGGUUUACGACACAACGAAACGAGAAAGGAAUCACACUAACAAAGACGGUUGGAAAAACAAGAGAAAUUGCUAUUAUCAAGCUAUCUCUUCCGUGUAUUCUUCACGCACAUUGUUUGGCUUGCAAGUUUUGGUCUCCUGCCUGUUAUGUACAGCCUAACCCAAACCCUUUUCAAAACCUAAAGCUCCACACGUUUAGAUUGCUCGAUUUGGUCCAUAGGGUAUACCUAACAUGCCAAAUCUUUCCAGAACCUAAUGUGCCGUUCCUUUCCUUCUCAAAAUGUCCACCUUGUUCCAUAAGAUAAAUCCAAAGUUUUCCAACCUAAACCGUGCCCUUCCAAAGCCCAACGCUCCACUCCUCCAACGUUCAUAUUCUUUGGACAGAAGAUACACACGAUUGCACUUGUCUCAUUCCUAACAACCAUGUGGAAGAGUGUGAUUAUGUGGGUAGAUAGGCAGAGCUCUGAAUCAAACCGACAAAAGCAAGUCCCUGCCUGAAAGCAAGAGUUCAAUGGAAAUAUGGACUAAUCGCAACAAUGGAUGGUCCCUGAAAACUUACUUUGAAAACCAAGUUAAUUUACGAUUUUCAUAGUAACUUUGUCGAAACUCAUGUUUCAUUCCUUACUAAACUGGAAUCACUAUCUAAUUAUAAGAAACUCGUUUCAAACAUGCAACAAACCUGUUCACUACUUGAAUCAUUGUGCCUCCUUUUUAAGGCUUAAUUUGUGAUUGCCGAAUUGUGUUUUGUUAUGACGAUUUCAUAAUUACUAUGUAAAAUUAGUCACAAAAGUAGACAAAAGUGGUUCAAACAUACGCUCAAAUAGGCAAAAACAGAUUAGGCAACACAAGGUUAUCAUAAACCACCACAAUACCAAACUCAGCCUAAGUAAAGCUGACUUUUUCCUAGACAAGGAAAAUGCAAUGCGUAUAUGACAACGAUGUCAGAACAAAGCCAGUAAAGGCAAGAACACGAGUUUUCAUCUGGAGAUCACCUCUAGAAACCGAAGAUAACGCCAUCAAGGAGAUGAUGUAAGAGCAAUGUCGUUACCAAGUCUAGCCGACAAAGACCACAUCGAGUCUUUUGGCUUGGCGCACAAAAUCUAACAUCACUUGAUCCAACCAAUGGAGGCAAACUUAUUCCCGACGAUUGCGUCAAUGUGCGCUCUAGAUUUGGCAUCAUCCGAUGACAAGGAACCUCGCGCAAAACGUUAUGAAGGGGUCGCCACUCCGCCCUCGAUGCCCCUGCGACUACCCAUCGCUACCACCGCCUUGGCUUCCAUGCCAUAAUCCGCCGUGCGCCAUCCUCUAACGGGCAACCACCAUGACGGGAGAUCAACAAGAGCCCUACCACCGCCAUCCGUCGCAAGAUCUUUGCUCAUGGCAUCCCCCGGCGGCGGGGGAGGAGGAGGUGGGGGGAGGUAUGGUAGAGACGCUAACUUCCUUAACUCCAUUUUUUAUGUAAUAAAAAAAUAGAGAAAUGUGCCAACCAAUCUUUGUACUCCCUCCGUUUCUUUUUACUCCGCAUAUAAGAUUUGGUCAAAGUCAAACUAGACAAAGUUUGACCAAAUUUAUAUAAAAAAAUAUGAACAUCUACAAUACUAAAACCAUAUAAUAUGAAAAUACGUUUCAUGGUGCAUCUGAUAAUAUUGAUUUCAUAUUGUGAAUGUUUAUAUUUUUUAAUAUAAAGUUAGUCAAACUUUACCAAGCUUGACUUUGACCAAACCUUAUAUGCAGACUAAAAGGAAACGGAGGGAGUAUCUAAAAAUGUACACGACCAACGAAUAUCAUUGACCUUCUGAUCGACGAUAUAAACCCAUAUUCCCAUUGUUCUAGGCCGUGAGUUGCCAACAAACAUCCUGAUCCUGCCCGGAAUAUUAUCCACCGAAUGACAUCUGAGCCGAUCCGAUUUAACAAGAGCAAACUUGCCAAAAACAAGUCCGUUGGUUCGAUCAAAGCCCCGUCAGGUCCAUGGAGACGGGCUGUGGCCAGGGUGGAAGAUUCCGGCCGGUCGGCCAGCCGCGGUGUAGUACAGAGCUAUGUGACGCCGACGUACCAACUAAGCGACGACAACCACCAUCUUCCGAGUGAAAUGAAAUCUACGACUACGUGGGUGCAAGGCCGCUACGUGACGGCCGCGAACUCUGCUGGGCACUGUGAUAAAAAGUCGUGGAGGUGUCGUCUCCCAUGGCCCUGUUGCACGCCCACGAAGCAUGUAGUAGUGCUGCACAGUUGUAUAAAAACCGGAGAUGCCAAGUGGGCCACGGAGGUUAAUAGUAGAUGUCAUAAAAGAUCAGUGCGCAGCUAGGCAUUUUGCUUGGCCACUCAUCAAAGUGUUUACGAAGGCAUUGACUCAUGGCAAAUGGAUAGCAAAUCUCAUGCUACAUCAGGUAAAAGUGGGCAUUGCCUAAAAGAAAGGUAAAAGUGGGCAUAGUUUUCUUACCAAUUCCUGUGUCCGGGAGAAUUUUGUUCGGCAGUCGGUUGGAAGAAGUCCUUCACAUAUUCGGAAGAAAGUGGGCGCCUAAACCAGCUUGACAUAAUCAUAGACUGAAUGGGUCGUCGACAAAAUGAUUGGGAAUUUUUCCCAAGCAAAUUCAAAAUUCCACCAUCCGUUGGUUAAUCAAGAGGUGGUUGGUACCAGUAGUACUAGCGAAGCAGCCGCCAUCACAAAAAACAAUAGCACGAGCCAAAUCAGAAAGACAGCCGCUGCUUGCAAAGCAUGCCCCCACAGCCUUACGAUCGGGACCCCCUAAUAUAACAGGACAGCUAAGUUCGCCGGUGAUUCGCUCGUCUAAAGGCGCUCAUCUAGCUUCGUUUCGUUGUAUUUCCUCGUGUCUGGAGCUUGAUGGGAGGUUAGUUAGGUGGUCGCCAAUGAUUGAGGAUUACCUGGCUGUGAUGGAGGAGCUGGCUGGCCACAUUGGUGGGCGUUCAGGUGAGAUGGACAUGGGAACUCCAUCACAUGCCCGGUUCAAGCGCCGGCCCCGGCCCUGCCUGGCGAUCCCUGUUGGGGAAGCUGUAGCAUUUCUCAUGCCGCGCAUGUAGAAAUCUCCUGCGUGCCAACCGCCGUCGCCCUUGGCCCAGUGCGCGAUGAGCAUGGCACCGCCACGGCGUGGUCGCAAUCGCUACAUGCGGCUACAGGCAAGAACUCGGGGCAGCAUGUUAGUUCAGGGAAUUGAUGAUAUAAAAAUACCAGAACUUACCAUCAACUUCUAGCAUUAAUCAUGCCUCAUGGCUCCAUGCUUAAGAUGUUGCAAUGGGGCCUUUCAAGGCAAAUGCGCCCCUCGUAUCUUUAUUCUAGAAUGUUAUAAUGUCACAAAAACACAAAUUGACUUGCAAACGAGGGCAUUUCAGUGCCACAUUAUUAUAGGAACAAAGAGCUUGGUAGCCAUUCACAGGUCGAAGGAAGAAUGAAAGAACAGACAGCUAUGGACUAGAUUCCCUCCAGACUUCUUAUCCCCAACUAAAUGGCUAGCAACUUCAGUCUACUUACAUGUGGAACAGUGGAAACAAAGUGUGCCAUUAUUAGACAAAGCUCUAUAUACCAGUUGCAACUGUAGUCGAUUUCACAAAGAUGCGCCCGACUCCCAGCUCAAGAGUUUGUCACGCUUUGCAGCAUGCGUUGUCCAGGGCUAGGAGAGUAAGAUCCGCGUACUGUUUUAACCAACUGACAACUCACCAAAAUGAGUCGAAACUGACAUUAUUCUCAUGCUUCCUUCAGACUGUGGCCUGUCUACUCCAAUCUAUGGGCUUGCCUUGAGCAAGAUGGAAGAGAAUGGAGCAAUUCUAUACCCUGAUCCAGUAAGUGGCACCCCUUCCGGUGCAAUAUCGUUUGGUGAUUCCAGGUUGGUAUCCACCUGCAACAAGGACACAAUAGCAGUUUCAGGCUAAUUAUCCAUUAAACUUGUACUCCCUUCGAUCCAUAUUAAUUGACGCUGCUCUAGUACAAAGUUAGUACAACAUUAAACUAGAGCAGCGUCAAUUAAUAUGGAUCGGAGGGAGUAGCAAGUUCAGAACUAAGCCACUUGCUUCCAGAAAAUUGCAAAAAUCUAUCUUUCUUGGAAAACAUUGUGAGGAAAAUCAGUAGAUUUAUCCAAGCAAUAGAUGUAGUAGCACCGGAGGAACUAGACAGUACGACCACUGAGUUACAAAAAUUUAGCAAGACCAGAAACUAUGCAUACCACACGGUUCCAGUGUUUUUGUUGAGGGGCUGGGGGAAUCACAGCAUCCACAGAAUAGUCAUGGGCAUUGAAUGCCAAAUAGAUAUCUCCACCAGAGUUGUGGUCGUGUAUCCUACAUUAAUCGCCAAACAAAACAGUUGAGAAGACAAGAACUCAUUGGCCAUUGCAACCAAAUUACAACAAUACUAUCAUAUGGUCAGAAUGAAUUAUACGAUCAAAACUGAAAGCCAAACUUCCUUACGUGAAUGCCAAGAAUUUGCUUUCCAAGUUAUCCCAACAAUCCUCGUGCCAAGUGACAUCAUUCUACAAUCAAGAAAGAUCAGAAUGCAAUGAAAACCUUUGGAAGAAAAUCAAACCAAGAGUUGCAUACUUGAAUCCUACAAAAGCUAGGAAUUGUCGUUUCUAACAUGCAAUGCACAAUAAGAGACCAGGGAGAUCACAUACUUAGCAAAUACUCAACAGAAACUGAUGACUAUAUUUCAGUAAAGGAAGAAAUGUUUAUUUUCAAUACGCCAGUCAACUGCAAGAACAACACUAAGAAUUUGAACAUACUUUACUGAGAAACCUGUCCCGUUUCAGUAUUGGGUGGUUCUGACGGAACUUAAUCAUCUCUGAGAAAAACCUGAAAUGGCCAUAUCUUCUUUCCGCCAACUGUAUCACAUGGACAGGGGGGGAAAACAAGUUAGCAUAUAGAUGUGGCACAUCCAUAACACAUUUUGAAUGGAAAACCAAAAUAAUAUGUAACCUGUCCCCACUGGAAAUUGUUUAUGCAGGUAUCAUGUCCAUAGCUAUUAUUGUUUCCAUAACGUGUAUGACCAUAUUCAUCUCCCAUCAACAUCAUUGGGGUGCCCUAUUACAAAAAAAUGUACACAAUUAGUAAUUUUUACAUUAUGCAAUACCACGUAAAAGUCCAACUGUGGAGUGAUCAAUAAUAUUUACUUGAGAAAUCAUUAAUGCCACAUGGAAGUUCUUCAUUUGUCUCGAACGCAGAGCUAAUACAUUUGAAUCAUUUGUUUCUCCUGUUUGGCAACAAGACCAAAAUAGGUUGUUACCAACAUUUAAUAUGUCAAAUCUUUCAAAAACAAGCAACGAAUAUAUCAAUAUCUACACAUAACAUGAUGGCGUUAAGUGAAACAAACUGAACUAAUGUUCCUUCCAAAAUAUGAUAACCAUCCAUGGUUGUAUUUUCUCCGAGAAAACAGAAAGCUUGCGUCUCGAUGCAUUGAUAUAAAAAUAGUAGUAACCGUAGAAGCCUAAGACUACGCUGAAGCAACCGACCACUCAAGACAAGACCACAACCAACGGUCACAAGACAGACAUUACAACAAACAUCACCAAACCAACCCUGGCCUAGAUGCCAUCCACACAAACGGACAGAACACGACGCCCAUCACAAGAACAGAGAAUCCAACUCCGCAAAGAAGGGCAGAAUUGGGCUACUCCACUUUGGAGGCGACAUAGUUGUAUUUGGUCUAAUCGUGAUACAGAAAGCUCCAGUACUAAGACUAUGCAUGGGUUCUGUCAAGUGUCAAGCAUACUACAAAAUUAAUUUUAAACUAAAAGAGCAUUUUGUGUUCUCCUUGUUGUGCAAUACUAUACUUCAGUCAAAUAUCUUAAGAACGGCGGCUCUGGAGAUCGCCUCUGUGUGGUUGGGUGUCUCCUCUGGCUGCUUGGGUGGUUGAGUCAUCGAUCCAUUGGGUGCGGGGCCUCGGGGCCCGUGUGCUGUGUUGCUGAUGUUUGUAAGCCGGAGGGGCAACUCCGGGUCGUGUGGUAGGGUGUCGACUAGGGUCGCUUGGGUGGCAGAGUAGUCGGCCAGUUGGGGUGCAGCCUCGGGGCCGGUGUGUUUGUAUGGCUCGUUGUAUCAGUUUUCAGCCACUUUUCCUUAUUAACUGGCCAAUUCUCUUCUUAUAUAUGAGAAGGCAGAGCUCCUUGGUUGCUCGAAGAAAAGAAAAAAUUCUCUUUUCAGCUGCUAAUUUCAAUGUGAAGAGCAACGCGUGAUAAUGAGUAAUGAUGGUACCUUCAACACCACAGUUCCAGCUAAAAUUAUCAUUGCAUCCAUCACGCCCACCUUCUCCAUUAGCAUCGUUGUGCUAUAUAAUUUUGGUCAAACAGAAAGCAUAUUAACAUAGACACCACUACUUGUAUAGAAGGACCUUAACUUUAUAGUGUUUUGGUAAUACUCGAGUUACCUUUAAGUUGUAUGAAACAAGGUCACAUAAGGUGAACCCAUCAUGUGCUAUUAUAAAGUUCACACCAUGAUGAGGCUUCCGCUGGUUCACCUGCCAAUCAAUAUCACAUCAAAACUUGAUUUUACACGUCGUCCUGUUUUGAACUAUGUAAUCCUAAAUCUUCCACAUAAAAAGAAGUCCCAAAGCUUAUUCACAGAGGCUCCUAACACCUCCAUACAUAGAGAACUGGUUUAAAUUUCGAAAUGACAUCUCCAACAAUAUUCAGAGUACAGCCAAUACCGUUAAGCAUUUGGGUGGAUCUUGCAGGAAUUAAUCAGAAUGAGCAUUGAAAACAGUGCAAUUAGAAUUGCGUACAAAAUAAAUUUGGAGGUUGCAUAUGUUAAUAGCAUAAGCUGCACCCUGAUGACACUAUGGAAAUAGCAAGUGUAUAGUUUCAACUUUCAACAACACUGAAGGCUUGAGCUCAGGAAUUUCUUUGUCGCAAACACACACAUAAUUGUGUGUUUCCUGUAUUUAGCUUAGGAAUUUACAAAUACUUUAAAAACUACUACAAAACAUCAAGAAACAGGGCUCCAAAAGAAAGUAUGUUUAGUGAUGAUAUAACCAAGCAAGGAAAAUCUUCAACUGAUGGAUAAAAAGGCAGGCAGGGAAAGAGCGCAUCUGAACAAAAUACCUGGUAGAGAUCAGCAGAUCCAGACACACGAGUUGCCAACACCCCCUUCAUACCAGGGUCACCCUGCAAAACCCCUCAAAAUUAGCAGCAUUCAAUCAUUCAUCAGUGCUUGCAGAAAUAAAAUUGGAAAUAUAACAAAGAAAGUAAUCAGGACAAACUCUUUUGCAGAAGUGCACUCUAAAUUCAGAUCAAACGUUAUCAAAAUCCACUGAUGCUAAAAAGGAAAUAUCUUGGUGUUGUAGGUCUUUGAUAAUUUAGUUAUGAUUGAUUCAAAGACAUUAUGCUAUGGAAAGCAUGAGUGAGUAGAAGCAACAGCAGUCCAUGGAAAAUUGGGUCAGUAAAUUUGAACAGGCCGAGAAGCCUCAUACAUUCUUGAAAAUUCUAUAUUCUUCUGUGGUAAUAUUUCUCUCUUUUAGCUGUUCUGGCCUUUUUUAUCUUUCUGAGUUUUAUAUCUAUAACUUGGUUUUGUCAAUAUAAAUAUAAGAUAGAGGAUACUUAAUUUUUCGCCACAACAAAAAGGUCAUGAACAGAACCAUCUAAUGAUCUGUCUUGAGAAUAUACGGAAACGAUCGGGAAUUUGGAGAAUGGUAAAGAUCAGGAUCGGGAUUUAGCAAACAGUACCUUGAUGAACCUUCGAAGAUCGUCUCUGUACUUUCCAUUCCAUUCAGCCCACCUACAAGAACAUUUGAUUAUAUCUUAGAAAUAUUGGCAAUAUUCACCAACAACAUUGAAACGUAUUCAGCUCUUCAUAUAUUUGAAAUUACCGGCAGCAAGUUUAGGCAACAAAAGGGACCACCAUAUGAAAAGGAGUGCAGUUGUUAAGUACUCCCUCCGUCCCAAAAUAUAAGAGCGUUUUUGACACUACACUAGUGUUAAGAACGCUCUUAUAUUAUGGGACGGAGGGGGUAAUUUAUAAAUGAUCAUCGGAGCAUUACAUCAGCUAUGUUAGAAUAACAACAACUCUUUGUGCUACAUUAUCAUCGCAGUGUAAAAAUAGUUUAGUGCUAAACAGGAAACAAAAGUAAGAAAAAUAUACAUAUCCAGCAAUUUCAAUACACAUAGUGCAAAAUUACCUGUCCCAGUUAGGGAAACGCCCUACUAGAUAAAGACCUCCACAAUCCCAAGGUUCAGCAAUUAUCUUGCAUCGAGAUAACACAGAAUCUUUGGCAAUUUCCUGUGACCAGCAAAAUAAACAAUGAGAUAAAAUAACAACAAACAUCAUAGGCUGAUAAUUCUACAAAAAACACUAAUGUAGGCUAUCAGAUGAACAUUGCAGUCUUGAGAAGGUGUGAUAUAUCAUUUGCAAUUUCAUAAAUGUAAGGGGGCAUUCAAAAGGUCACACAUUCAUAGGACCCUCAGGUUCCUCUAAAUCUACUUCAUUAAUGAAGAGCUGAAUAUCUGAUGAUGAAAUUUUGCAUGAUUGCACUAAAUAUCUGCCCGACAAAUAGUUCAACAACUGAGAAAGAGAAAGCAAAUACGGCAUACAAUGUAGUGAAGUCCAUAAAUUUCAAGGUGGCAUUGGUUCAUGUGAAUUCAUUAGGUCACAAUUUGUAUCCGAUCAACCAUAGUAAGAUAUGGACAAUAGUUGAUGUAAGAACUUAUGUCUUGUGUUUUAUGAUAUCAAUGAACUUCACUUGAUUAAAAAGAGGAAAAUUGUAUCUCUGAUUUGAAGUUAAACACUAAAGUUCUGCAACUAUAAAAUUACCCUGAUGAGUGGAGGAGCAUCAAGAGGACUACCAUCUGGUCCACGACAAAGAACACUUGCAAGGUCAAACCGAAAUCCAUCUAUGUGAUACUCCUUAACCCUUGAAGCAUCAAAUAGUCAUGCAAAUAAGAAAACAUACUUAAAAUAUGAUGAAUUCUUUGAAAAAGAGAUCAUACGAAAAUACUUGGUCUGAAUUUUGUAUCAAGAUAUGAAUGAACUACUACAGUGCAGUUUUCUUGAUCCUUUGGCUGCCUUGCACUAAUACAUUUAAUAUAGGAUUUGUCAGUGCAUACAAUACUUUGAUAAGGAGAUCCCUAGCGACGUCACUCGUUCAAGGUUGAAAAUACUUAGUCGGUCCACUCACAAGGCACAAGAGUCACCCACCUAGACUCCCAUGAGAAUUGGUUGCUACCUGAUGCUUCUACACCAUGUCUUGGGUAUGGACCGGACAUCAUGGGUACCAAGGAGUAAGGAAACAAGAAUGAUUGGCAAGCGAGGCUCAGUCUGGAGGCACAGCAAGCAACCGGUCCAACCAGAAACUCAGUGUGGGUUAGACAGGUCACACGUUUUUUUGGUCUAGCCUGUUCCGAUCGAACUGGCUCCUAUUCACUUCGCUGGUGUGAGUGGGUAUAGAAGCAGAAGCCCACCUCUUUUAAGAACAAAUGGAAGUCAUGAGCUUCGCUCCCCUCCUAUGGUUACAGCUUCCAUGUCACCCUAGGAUUGGGAGUUCCGGAGUUUCCCCACCAAUGUUUUUGUUCCAUGUGCAAGAACCAUUUGUUGGGUGAGUUCUUUCUCAAAGGCUAUGACAUUGACACUUGUUGCUGGCAUCAAUUGCUCAAGCAACUCGAGUCAUCCAUUCCCAUUGCCUGAAGGCCAGGCCUCCCCGUAUAUUAACUGAAGAAGUCAAGUGACCUCAUCAACUAUAACGUGUCACAACCCAGAUGAUUUGAUGGCUAUGAAUUAAUGUGUGCAGUGUGUACUGCAACAUAGAGGUAGUUUUCAGUAAUUUCAGUCUAUCAGUAUCAUCUUGAUUUGAUCAUAUAGAUCCGACAGUUCAAUUCCACAUGCAUAUUUAUUUACUUGUUAGCACUUGAUUGUGAGAGUGGAACACAGGUAUAAACAGGUGCUGUCGAAGCAUUGACUAUACUGAUUAUGAAGACUAAAGAAAUGAUCAACAUGAAGACAGAAAUAUGCAUAAACUAAAAUGCAGUUGCUUGAAGUAUAGAACAACAUGCAAGUUGUGCAUACCAAUGUCUCAAGCUGUCGAGUACGAGUUCCAUGACAACAGGAUGGUUGCAGUUUAGUGUAUUCCCUGGAUUAAACCAAUUAUACUGUUAACACUUAGGAGCAGACACAAGUUCCACUUACUUGAAAUUUUAAAUGUACCAGAAUAUUAAGUACCUAGCCAUCUAAAUGUUAUAUCAACCAGAUAAUUAAGCAGGCUUCCAAUAUAUUUUUUUAACAAGGUUUCCUUAUAGGUAGCAAUGUGGCAGUCUCACAUCAAUGCAUGGGUUGAGAAAUAUAGUGGCUGCAGCCAAAUAAUGACCAGGUGACCACUCUUAACCCUUCUACCAGUCAAUAUAGCACCUAACAUGGCUGCAAGGUUCAGUCUGAUGGCAUGACGAAGAUAAUAAACAUAGAUUGAAUCAACAUUCAUCAUUUGAAAUACAUCACAACAAAGUAGCAGCCAGAUAUGCAGUUUAUUUGCCUAGAAGCACACAAUCGCAAGAUAAAUUAGCAAGGUACAUGGUUAGUAAGCGGAUCAGCAAAACAAGAUACAUUAACAUCCUUAAAGCCGGAGCAACAAAGAACAUACAAAGCAUCAGGUAGCACCCUAGAACAUGUUCACCUAUUACAAGCACGUCACAAACAAUCAAGUAACAGAAGUUCAGGAAUCAUGGUUUUACCGCAUCCCGAGAAGUUCAGCAGUUGAGAGUUGUUCUUUGGAUCUAACAUGUAAUAAACCUGCAUGAAUGAAAGUAGUGUUUUUGGUAUAAAUUCAUGUAAAACCUGAAGCAGGUGUACACUUCUAAACACUUUGGGGUUUAGAACAGAUUAACUUAACCUGGUCACAAAUUGUACUUAGCCUUCUAAGACCAGUGACUGUCUGACCCAUUAUAAAAUAACAGGUCAAAAGGGUGGAGUGAGCAAACCCAUACACAAAUUCUGAGUUAAGCAGCCCUAUUCCGAUUCUAACCUAGUUCUUUUCAACCCGGAACAAAACACAGCCUACACAUUAGAACUAAGAAAAGAUAGAGCGACAAGCAGAUAGGUGCCUUCGUCGGCUAUAACUCAAAUAGAUAAAUCACCUUGUUGUCGAUGCCACGGAAAGAAGUAACAUAAGGAUUAGCAUCAUCUGCUUCAUUCGUAUGGUUGUAAACGACGUCCAGAAUAACCUAUACAAAAUGAUGAUACCAUUAAACACAUGUUCUCAUGUGGGAUGGAUAAGAAUGCUACAAUAGGUUGCCAUAUCUACUGGAUGUCAAUACCUCUAUACCAGCUUUAUGCAAUGCCUUGACCAUCUGCUUGAGCUCUCUGGAAGCAGCCAAUGGUCCACCACCAGCACUUGCAUAGCGGGUCAUGGGAGCAAAAAAAUUGAUUGUAGAAUAACCCCAUGUAUUGACCUUCCAAUUGAGAAGAUGAAAAGUCAUUCCACAAUUGAUUCCACUGAUGAACCAUAAUGAUGACAUCAUGCACAAAGUGGCAUAUCAGAAUUUUUACCAUGUGGUCCCUUGGGUUAGGGUACCUCUUGAACUCCAGCUCAUCAAACUCAAAAACAGGUAGCAACUCCACUGCAUUAACUCCGAGUUCAAGCAAAUGCGGGAUCUACAAAACCACAACUAUUGCAUGCAUAAGUCAUUAAACAAUAGGCUUGAAGCCUUGAACACUGAAACCUAAUAUGCAUAUCAGGUUCCCAAAACUAGAUCACUAAAAUAAUAGUGGGAAUAUAUUUAUUUCGCUAAUAACUUCCCGUAAGGACCAAACAAAUAAUUGUGGUCACAAGCCACACAAUAAGAAGAAAUUAAAACUUACUUUGUCGAUGAAUCCUAGAUAGCUUCCACGAACAGCUGGAUCAAGCCCACUUGACUCAUCCGCAGUGAAAGCGCGAACGUUCAUUUCAUAUAUAACUAGAUCUGUCUAGAUUAAAGAACAGAAGAAAAGCAGUGAACUUCAUGUUUGGGAUGCUUUCUGCAUUUCUUCUAUGAAAUGAUUCUAGUACCUCAGGCAAAUUUGGAAGCUGGUAGUCAGCACCCCAGUCAAAAGGAGAGCUAUCAAAAUCAUAUGUUCCAAAAGGCUGGCUGGGCCCUUUAUCAAGCCCAAAGUAAUUUCGACCAGAAACUAGUUUCGCGUAAGGGUCAAGAAGAACAAUGUUGCUAUCAAACCUAUGGCCUUGUUCCCAUCCUUGAGGACCAUUAACACGAUAUCCGUAAAGAACUCCAGAAGUGGGCAACCCCUGAAAGUACAGUUAUAGAAGGCUUCAUUCAGCAUAUAUACAACAACAACAACAACAACAACAACAACAAAGCCUUUAGUCCCAAACAAGUUGGGGUAGGCUAGAGGUGAAACCCAUAAGAUCUCGCAACCAACUCAUGGCUCUGGCACAUGGAUAGCAAGCUUCCAUGGGAAAAUAAAUAGAAGCAAAAUAGGCACAGAUUUCUCCUCCUAACAAUAAAUAUUGUAAAGAACAUAAGGAUGUGUUUUCAGCCAAGACCAAAAGAGAACAUAAUGAUUUCUCCUCCCAACAAUAAUAUUGUAAAGAACAUAAGGAUAUGUUUUUCAGCCAAGACCAAAAAGAUAGAUGUGUAACAUGCUGGAAGCUUUUUUAUUUAAGGGUUUUUCUCCCCGAUUUCAUCCAGAAACCACAAAAAUCCUUGCAGUAAACUGAAAGAUGCUAGAAGUGACACAGUGAGAUAGCCAAAGUUAUGAGCCUGCACUACUCAGCAGUGCAUUUUGUUUCUUUUUAUGAAUGAGUUAACGUGAUAAGACCAGUGCUUUCAAAAUAUAUGAUUCUCAUAAAAUUAAAUCUUGUUUUGAAGAAUAUGUAAUACAGAUACACAUGAGACGAAUGAUGGGAUUCUUGUUCCAUAAAUGUCAGCCACACCAAGUUGUCAAUAUUCAAAAGAAUAAUGCCUUAUCUUCAAAGGUACAGAUAACAUCAAAGCUUCAUAAGAAUACCUCCACCGACACAUGCCAUAUAUCUCCAGUUUUGUUCUUCUGGCAAUCUAAAGCAAACUCCACAGCCUUUUCACUUUCUUCAUCCUUGGUUCCUCUGCAGGGUAAUCCAGUAUGUCAGACGAUGAGACAAAUCAUAUUUCGUUGUAAAGAGAAUGUGAGAUGAACAAGCUAAAGCACAAUGCUGAUCAGCAAAAGGUUAUUUCAACCAGGCCAACACCCCAGAUCAACUAACAAAAUGUCAACCUGGGAAACAAAUAAACAUCGUUUUGUGCACGAUCUGCAACAUACACAAACAGUUGAUCAAAGUGCGACAUAUGGAUGUGUUUUGGCUUUAUGAACAACUUGUUUUGCGGAAAACCAGGAUUCACGAGUCCUGGCCUAAAAGGCAAAAACCGUUAACUUAAAUGACACUGAAAGCAAGAAAACCACACAAUUUAGGAAAGAUUGUCUAUACCUCUCAGGAAGCUUGAUGCAGAGGGUGACAGAAGAAGCAUGUUGAGAGAAAAUCGCGAAGUUCAGACCACUUUCAUCCUGUGACACUCCUAGAGGGGAUGCUUUGCCGGAAGAAUAUUUCAAGGGCAUUUCGGUACCCGCCAUUGCGCUUUCCCUUUCCUGGCGGUGUUACAGAAUGAACAUACACUUGAGCCAAAAUAACAUGAUACAGAAUGAGGAAUAAGAAUACGCAGCAUCAUACAGUUGAUAAAUACAAACAUAUUCGCUUAGUGUGAGGUUUUACCAGGACGAUAGCUCACGACAUGCCAAAUGACCACGAAUGUGUAUCAAACAAACAGUUCAGUAGACUGGUAGCUAAAUGGAUCGACGAACAAAUACAGUGCUAUAGUAUAACCAUACAGGGCAUGAACACUUAGUGCGGUGCGAUACCUCGGUCACAAUUCUCCCAGCAUUACCAGUCUGUGCUCUCGCCAAGGUACUCCGCACGGACCCAAAUCGCUGCGCCUGCACCACGACAAAAUCCACUCGGAUCAAUCCACCAAUUAGAGUUGAUGCAUGGAGGUAGACCGCGAAAAACAAAGGUACGAAAUCGAGACACCUGCCUUUCCGAAUUGCCCUCCUCCGCAGCCGGGCGCGACCCCAAGCCUGCUCGCCGCUACACUGCACGGGAACCUCGACCAAACACACGCACAUCAUUCAGAGCGGCAGAUUGAACGGCACGAGAACGACAAAAUGCAGCGCGGCGAAACGAGGCCGCGCGAACGGAGAGGGAAAAAAAGGGAAACCCACCGGUUCGGAAGCGCGGGGCGGACGGAGCUGCUGCUUCGGCGUGCGGUGGCGGUGGCGGCGGCGGCGGGACGCAGCGGGGAGCGAUUUGUAGAGGCCGCCGAAUCCAUCCAAAUGCGGGGGUGGUGGGACGGGUAGCGGGAGGGAUUUGGCUCGGGACCGGGGCUUAGUUAUAGGGGCUCGUGGACAGGGUCAUGGGGCGGCUCGCGAGGUCGAGGGAGUGGAGCGGCGAUGGGGAGCGCAAGUCGGAGCAGGAGGAGAAGGAUGCGGUGAUCUCACCUCGGGGAGGGCGCGCGGAGGAAUGGGGGCGCGGGGGCGACGGAGAUGGGUGGUGGACACGUGGUGUCGCAUGCGCGGGGCGGGGGCGGCGGAUAGGGGAGUGGACGGAGGACCUUGGCUCCCUUCCGGCCCCGACGUGUGGUGUCGUCUCGUCAUGUGCUUUCCAUACAACAGUUACCGGUAGUCUCAAUAUCUCAAUAGAUGAGAAACGGUCGAACUCACGGACAGAACCUUGCUUUAUCGAAAAAUCUGAAAAUGAUUAUCUACACUACCUAUUAAAAAGCAAACCAAAUCUUCUCUAACACACCCACAAAAUGUACAUCGGAUCAAUUACCACCGCAUGAUUAGACUCACUAAAUAAAUCUAGGGAUUGUCUAAUUGACAUCUGACUGUUUUCCUUUUUGAAAACAUUCAAAUUUCUUGUCCAAUGACAAUGUUACAGCUGUACUACCAGGACAGUCAUCAAAAAAGGAGAAAAACAACACGCUAACGGGUCCGGCAACCAUCCGACCCGCUUUCUCCAGGAAAACAAGACCUCCACCUAUUCAGGGACCACAAACAGUACUCCCUGGAAGCUUGCAAACCACGCAACAUGUCAAAAACGCUAUACAAAACCCCCACCUUCAGAAAAAACGCUAGACAGAUCUUACCUAACCGGAUCUAGCGACACCCAUGGGAAAGGGAGAGGCGACCAUGACAGAUCGGGGAGGAGGAGAGCUCCCAGGAAGAGAAGAACGAAGAGGAAACGCACAUAUCACAAACGGGGAUGAAUCUGCUGAUCACGAAAAAGCUGAAGACCAUGAUCCACAGGUCAGUAACUCCUCUGCAUCAUCUCUUCUUUUCACCCCCUCUUAUGUCUCUUACGUUGACAGUUUCACAAAGAUUUUCCUUCGAUCUACUCUGAAACAUAGGAGAGAGAUCAACAUCAGAACCACAACAAAAAUUGCACUGUAAAUUCCUCUAAAAAUCACUAUGUAACUAGUCUUGUAUCCUCUAAAUUUACAGUGUAACUUUCUCUUAAAUUCCAGAGUAAAAGUAGUUGCAAACAAAAUGAAGUAAUUACAAAAAUGCAAGAACAUAUACACUACAAAAAACACAGUAAGUACAGUGAAAAAAACGUCCUAAAAUUCCACAGUAAAAAUAGUUGCAAACAAAAAGAAGUAAUUACAGAGCAAAGAACAUAGUAAAUUACAGUACAAAAAACACAGUAAGUACACUGUAAAUUCCUCAUAAAAACGCAGUAAGUACACAGAAAAGUACCUGUAAAUUCCUCCUAAAUCCCAGAGUAAACUACUAGUUACAGACAAAAUGCUUGAAAUUGCAGACAAACUAGUCACAUAGUAAGCCAGAUUCAGUGAAAAAAAAAGCUAGAGAAAUACAGAGUAAAACAUGUCAAAAACUAGACAUCAAAUUGCACUGUAAGUACGCGAGAAAUUAGAAUGUAAAAAAUACAUUGAAGCUACCUAGAAAAUCCACUGUAAAAUGCUUGGUAGCUGAUGCUUCUUACUGUAGUAUUGCAUUUUUCAGUAACAUGUCAUACAACAUUCAAAUUUUACUCUGAUGCUAUCUUGAAAAUUACAGAGCAAUACCAAAAUUUACUGUGAUUCUUCUUUCAUUUAAUUCUUAGGGAAAAUUUACAUUGAAAGUACACGAGAAAUUACACUGAAAAAAUGCACUAGAAAAAUGCAGUGUAAAACCCCCUCAUGAUUGUGUUCUUUCUAUUGUUAUGUUCUUUGUUGCUCAUCAUUAUGUUAACACUGACAUUGUACUGUCCAAAAUGUUUAAGGAGAGGACCAUGAUGAGGGUAGUGAUUGAAGAGGAUCUACUGAGAUUAUCACAGGAAGAACUCAUACUGAAUGUGAGAUGCAAUUGCAAAUACUUCUUUUAAUAUACAUAAAAGGGUAAAAAGCUAACACAAUGAUCAUGCAGGAAUCAUUUUCUUUCACUGCGCUCCUUCAUUCCGACAUUAUAUACAAGGUAAACAUCUAAAAAUCAUUAAAUACACAGUACAUUUCAGGUGAUGGUUAAAAAAAACUUGUGAUGAACCUUGCAGGUACAUUCAGCAGAUGGAUCUACGAACAUUGCCAAAACUAUGUACGAAAACUCCAGGAGCAAAACAAAGGACAGUAUCAUCACAACAAAUGAUGACCAUGUAAGCAGAACUACAUCUGAAUAACUAUUACAAAAGAAAAUGCCGAAUAAAAACACACUAACAAUCAUUAAACUUACUUUGCAGACACUGGAGGCAGACUUGCAUCAAGAAAUGCCAGUGGCCGAAGAUGGAGCAGGAGAAUCCGAUCCAUGGGACACAAACCUGAACGACAACAUCAAUCUGCAACAGGUACACACCACAAAAUUCAGAAAAAAGAAGAAGCACAUAACGUUUCAGAAGAAAAGUAACUAAAAAUAAAAAUCCCUAAAUGUUGCAGGAGCCUAAAGAAGUUGAUCCCAGUGGAGCAGCGGCUAACACGAACUCUAGUACAGGCAGGGAUGAAGGAGAAAGAAAAGAACCAGAACACUCACUAGAAACAAGAGGGAGAAGAUGAAUUCCUCGACGAAGAAGACAUUGAAAGAUUCCUGCAAAAUGAACAAGAAGCUGCGUCAGAGGGAAAUCUGAUGAACACUAGCAGUAAUUUCAAGCCUCAAUUAGGCAUGCAGUUCAAAACAAAGGAAGAAGCUCAGGAAUAUUUCAAUUUCUACUCGAAAGUGGCAGGAUUUUCAGUGGCUACAGUAGCAAUCUCAAGAACAUCAAGCAAAAAAAGGAACAAUGAGGUGACAAGGAUCACUAUGAAGUGCAACAAGUGGGGCAAGACAAAAGAAAUAGAUAAGGAAUGCAUAGUGCCCAUGAGAAAAUCUACAGUCAUAGCUAAAACAGAUUGUAAAGUCAUCAUGGUCAUAUCAGAAAAAGGAGGCAUGUGGGAAAUCACAAGACAACAACUAGAACACAACCAUGAGUUAACACCAAACAGUAGAUUCUUCAGGUCACAUAAGUACAUGUCGGAUGAAGAGAAGUGCUUGAUAAGGGUGUUGAAGCAUACAAACCUGGAAACAAGAAGGAUUGUAGCUGUCUUGGCUUACUUGAGAGGAGGAAUGGCUCAUCUUCCCUACACAAAGAAACAUGUCACAAACUCUGCAGCAACAAUUAACAGAGACAUCACAAACUCUGACAUGAUGGAAGUAGUGCAAAUGUUCAACAAGAAACAAACAGAAAAUCCUGGCUUUUGCUACUCGUUUGAGCUAGAUGGAGAGAAUAAAGUGAGGAGCUUAUUCUGGACAGAUGUGAGGUCAAGAAUGAUGUAUGACGUAUGUGGAGAUUGCAUCAGUUUUGACACUACAUUCCUAACAAACACGUACAACUUGCCAUUUGCACCCCUUGUUGGCAUAUCCCCACAUGGCAACACAUACUUGUUUGCUUGUGCAUUCAUCGUCAAUGAGACAAAAGAAACAUUUGCUUGGUUGUUCGAACAAUUCCUGAUGGCUAUGGGAGGAAAGCAUCCUAUAUCAAUCAUUACAGACCAAGACAAGGCAAUGCAAGCAGCAAUUGAAAAAGUCUUUCCUAAUGCUACCCAUAGGAGCUGCCUCUUCCACAUAAAGAAGAAGGCAGAGGAAAAAGUCGGGCCCUGCUUCCAAGCUAAUGAGGGACUCUAUGAAGACUUCCAGGACAUUGUGGACAACUCCUUGACAGUUGAAGAAUUUGAAACACAAUGGCAAGAAAUGAUAGAAAAAUACCAAGUUCAUCACAUCAAGUACUUCAACGACAUGUGGGAAAACAGGAAAAAGUUCAUCCCUGUGUACUUCAAGGACAAAUUCUUCCCAUUCAUACAAACUACAGCAAGAAGCGAAGGGACGAAUUCCCUUUUCAAAAAAGGGGUUGGAGCUAAAUUUAGUGCUACUAGAUUUUUGAGAGAGUAUGACCGGAUACUUGAUGUUGUGCAUGACAGGGAAGAAGAAUGCGACCAUGUUAGUAGAAACAAGAAAGUUGCACAGAAAGCAUUUUGGUCAAAAUACAGCAUAGAAAGGCAAGCACAUGAGCUAUACAACAUUGGAAUAUUCAGGAAAUUCCAGUUUAAAAUGGCAGACACAACAAGGCUGCAUGUCUUUGAGCAAGAAAAGGACAAAUACUACAUUGUGACACAAGCUGAAAACUACCCCCAAAAGGAAAUCCGGAAAAGAGAAGAACAAUAACAAGACUUACAGCAAAAGCGUAGUGACAACCGCCAAACGUCACUGAUCUUUUGGAAGCAACUUUAGUGGAAUCCUUGAACUUUUUUAUGCAACUCAACAGCCACUCAUAAACAAAUUUUGACAGAUCAUAGUUACGCACAGAAGGACAAUCCCGGAAGAUGUGAAGGUACUUUGGGCUAGGACUGAGGCUAGAGUUGGGACAAAGGAAUGAUGAAAAAGCAACAAUCAUGAAACAGAUAAAGACAUCUUCAUCAGGCAACCCGACUGUGGUUGAUUUUAGCUUGUUAGCAAAGAAGGACACGGGAGGAAUACUGGUCAAGUUGAAGUGAGAGAGGAUAAAAUCACGGCCGGAUUCAGCAUCACACACAAGUGGCUCACCAUCUACUGGAAGGUCGAGGAUGUCAUGAAUAUCAUACUUGGUCAUUGGGAUAAAUUUCUUUUUGAGCUGGAAUUCAGAUGAAAGGACAUCAAACCUACUGGCGAGCCACUUCACUAACCUAAGGGGCACCUCGGUCCUAACAAACUCUAAGAGACAGCCCAUGCCAUAUCUCUGGACAACAUCUCGAUACCUAGAACAUAAACCAUCAACAACACCAGAGAAGAACUUCCCAGAAUAUCUAGUGAAAGUAGCACAAGUAGGGUAAUCGCUAGAGCUUUUCUGCCUCUACAAAAACAACAAAAGAGAAACACCAUAUCAACCACUCAAAAUAAUUACUUCGCAUUACUAUUACUAAGUACAAAAAAUACUUUACAAAUACAUCAAAAAAUACAGCUACUAAAAUAAUUGGACUUACACUAGAAAAUAACAAAAACAAUAUGAGUGAAAACACAUAUCAAACCAGUCAAAAAAUAGCUUUAGAUUACUAUUACUUAGUACAAAAAGAACAUUGCAAUACAUUGAAAAAAUGCAGUUACUAAUAAUUGGACUAACACUACAAAAAAAUUCAUUAAGAUAGAACUUCAAGCAUUUUUCUUCCAGAAAGUAAAAAUUGCUGAAAACAAAAAAGAAAAUAGGAACUAACCACAUUCCUCCUUGAAGCAGAUGAUAAUUUCCUCUUGAGGCAUUUUACUUUCUGAAAACAUAACAAAAACACAACUAUCACGCAUCAGAAAAAAAUGUAAAAAAAUGAAACAAGAAUGAAAAGUCCUAGAUAAAAUAAAACAUACUCGGUUAAGAUAGAACUUCAGAAGAGCUUUGUCAAGCCCUCCUUCGUCACCAGAUAAUUCCUGCAGAAAAAACCAAUAAAAAAAUAAGACAACCCAAAAAAAAAUGAAGGUCAAAAAACUAAAAUAAAAAGAAGCAGAAAAUAAAUAAAUAAAUACCAUAGACACAGGGAAAGAACCAUCUUCUGCAAAAUCAUUAGGCACAAAUGCUUCACCUCCAGAAUCAGCACUAUCUAAAGAUGAUACUACGGGAACAUCCCAAUGAGAAGCUUUCCGUAGCUUGCCCAUUUAAACCUAAAAAAGGAAAAAACAAAAACAUAAGUAACAGUGAAAAAGCAUCCAAUUAAAACUCAAAAAUACAAUGUAAGUAUACAACAUAAUGCACUGUCAUUACAUUGUAAAAACUAGCACAACUACAUUAUAAGCAUUGGACAAAAAAUAUACUGUAAUUACAAUAUAAACCUAGCACAACUGCACUGUAAGUAUUGAACAAAAUUACACUGUGAUUGCACUGUAAAAACUAGCACAAGUACAAUGUAAAACCUAACAGAAAUUACAUUGUAAGACUAGCACAACUACACUGUGUAUUGGACAAAAAAUACACUGUAAUUACAGUGUAAAACUAGCACAACUACACUGUAAGUAAUGGACAAAAAAAUACACUGUAAUUACAGUGUAAAAACUAGCAGAACUACACUGUAAUUGAACAAUAAAAUAUACUGAGAUUAUACUGUAAAAACUACCACAAUUACAGUGUAAAAACUAACAGAAAUUACACUGUAAGACUAGCACCAUUAUACUGUAAAUGAGUGGAUUUGCAAUGCAAAACUAGCACAACUACACUGUGAGUAUUGGACAAAAAUGCACAGAAAUUACAGUGUAAAACUAAGCACAACUACACUGUAAUAGAACAAAUAAAUACACUGAGAUUACACUGUACAAACUAGCACAAUUACAUUGUAAAAACUACCAGAAAUUACACUGUAAAAGGCUAGCACCAUUAUACUGUAAAUGAGUGCAUUUACACUGCAAAACUACCACAAAAAGAACACUGUAAAACCUAAGAGACAUUACAUUGUAAUACUGGGACAAAAAGGACACAGAAAGUCAGAAAAAUACACUAUAAUUACACUAAAGUGGAUAUACUGAAAGUAUGACAUGAACUACAGAACAAAACAACAACACUCAAAUAUACUUAACCAACAGUCAACACUGGCAUGACACAAAAAAAAAACACUAAAGAAAAUAAACUCAAAAAUCAUGCCAUCCCUAAAAAGUAAACAAUCAUGGCACAAAAUGGGGAUGAAACCCUACAUCUAGCAGGCGAUUCCCAACCUGCAGAAAAAGCUUGACAAGAGCAACAACAAUAGACAACAUAAAAAAAGACGAGAAACGUUACAAGAUGACCAAAAUUCAGAGGCUACAGAAACUACAAACAACAACUCGGUCUUCAGAAACAUCAGCUUUAGGAUCCAUCGCUGAAACCUAUUGCCUACCACGCCUAUUUCCACAUCAACUAUAGGCCACAUAAAAAAAAUACACAUCAACGACGACAAAAACGUACUUGGGAGGGGCAUAACAUUUGGGCUGGGUCCACAACAAAAAUAUAAGACAACGGCAUGGCGCAAACGGUAGCAAUGAAACUCUACAGGACAAGAUGCAGUGAACAAAAAAAUGCCAACUAAUAGGUUGCAAAAACAUAUAUCUGCAAGACAAGAUGCAGUGAGAAAAAGUGGAGAGCAGAACUUCAUGCGCAUACUACAGCCCCUUGAUCUUAGAUACACUCAUAUAAUGGUGGAAAAAACAUAAAAACAAGCGUCAAAAUACAUGAAAGUACACAGCAAACAGGAACAAAAAUACAUAGGGAUGACUUAAUAAACCACUGGGAUGAACAACAUGGGACAAAAACAACACAAAACUAGACAAAAUUCAGGCGUUAUAACCACAACUCGAUCACAGCCACAAGCUACAGGAUCCGCCGCUGAAAACUAACAACAACUCCGCGUACAUCCACAACAUCUACAAAAAAACUAACCUCUGCGCCUACCUACACAUCAACAACUAGAACGCAUGACGGGCGCUCCUCCACAAAAACUGCAGGAACACACAGAUCACGCGCAUGCAAAACUACGGGUGACACAACUAGAUCCUACCAGAUAUCACGCGCGCGCCCAUGGCGAACUAGAACACCACGGCAGCAACAUACACAUCCCGCGAAACCCAAAAAUCACCUAGAUCUAAAGCUACAGGGCCACAAAAAGCAAGGGCAAACGGGCGAGAAGGCAAGGCAACAAACCAGCGCAGCUGCGGGCGACGAGAAUGAAGAGGGUGCCGUCAAAAUCCUGCGGCGGAUGAGCUCCAAAUCGCCAUGAAACUGGGGAAUCGCCUCCAGGAAUCGCCUCGCCCUCCGCCGUCGCUCGACCUCUCACUCCCUCUGCCUUAUCCAAAUGAGAAAGGGGAACGACACCCCGCUCCAAAUUCAAAAGCGACAAAGACCUACAGUGCCCACCGGUUCGGCCGGGUCGAGGAAAAACGGGCGGAUCCAGAAACCGCGCCCGAUAAACAAAACCGACCCGAAAACCAGCGCAAAAAAAGCAGGACCGAGCACGAAUCUCGACGCGAGAUCGAACGGACAGAAAUUCGAACGUCAGCGAAUUACAAAACAGCCGACUGUAAAUUAGCAAAACCGUAAAUCUAACAGCUAACCUUAAUCUAAUCCCUUUUGUAUGUGCGUUUAGCAAUUUUAUUGAGUGGCUGUACUCCACACUAGUCUAAGUUUUUUUACGAGGUACACUAGUUUGAGUUACUCCCCACUAUGGGUAGUCUCAUAGUAUGAGUAUCACACCCCGCAUCGGUAACUCCUACAAUCACGCAGCGCACGCCAUCCGAACUGCCACCAGUUAACCUCUCUUCCUUAAUUAGCGUCUAAUCAAUUCCCAUACGAAACCUCCAUCCAAAAGAGAGAAAUUUACCAAAGAGCAUGCAAGCCGCCCGCCAAUGCAAGAGAAACACCGCCGUCGGGACGCGCGAGGAGCCCGCCUGAGGAGGCAGCUAGAAAUCCUAUUUUGUCAAUGUAGGGGAACGCAGUAAUUUCAAAAAUUUCCUACGCACACGCAAGAUCAUGGUGAUGCAUAGCAACGUGAGGGAAGAGUGUUGUCCACGUACCCUCGUAGACCGAUAGCGGAAGCGUUAACACAACGCGGUUGAUGUAGUCGUACGUCUUCACGAUCCGACCGAUCAAGUACCGAACGUACGGCACCUCCGAGUUCAGCACACGUUCAGCUCGAUGACGUCCCUCAAACUCCGAUCCAGCCGAGUGUUGAGGGAGAGUUUCGUCAGCACGACGGCGUGGUGACGAUGAUGAUGUUCUACCGACGCAGGGCUUCGCCUAAGCACCGCUACGAUAUUAUCGAGGUGUAAUAUGGUGGAGGGGGGCACCGCACACGGCUAAGAGAUCAAUAGAUCAAUUGUUGUGUCUAUGGGGUGCCCCCCGCCCCCGUAUAUAAAGGAGCAAGGGGGGAGGCGGCCGGCCUAGGAGGAGGGCGCGCCAAGGGGGGAGUCCUACUCCCACCGGGAGUAGGACUCCUCCUUUCCUUGUUGGAGUAGGAGAAGGGAAGGGAGAAGGAGAAGGAAGGAAGGGGGCGCCCCCUCCCUAGUCCAAUUCGGACUAGUCCAUGGGGAGGGGUGCGGCCACCCUUUGGGGCCUUUCUCUCCUUUCCCGUAUGGCCCAUUAAGGCCCAAUACGAAUUCCCGUAACUCUCCGGUACUCCGAAAAAUACCCGAAUCACUCGGAACCUUUCCGAUGUCCAAAUAUAGUCGUCCAAUAUAUCGAUCUUUACGUCUCGACCAUUUCGAGACUCCUCGUCAUGUCCCCGAUCUCAUCCGGGACUCCGAACUCCUUCGGUACAUCAAAACUCAUAAUAAAACUGUCAUCGUAACGUUAAGCGUGCGGACCCUACGGGUUCGAAAACUAUGUAGACAUGACCGAGACACGUCUCCGGUCAAUAGCCAAUAGCGGGACCUGGAUGCCCAUAUUGGCUCCCACAUAUUCUACGAAGAUCUUUAUCGGUCAAACCGCAUAACAACAUACGUUGUUCCCUUUGUCAUCGGUAUGUUACUUGCCCGAGAUUCGAUCGUCGGUAUCUUAAUACCUAGUUCAAUCUCGUUACCGGCAAGUCUCUUUACUCGUUCCGUAAUACAUCAUCUUGCAACAAACUCAUUAGUUGCAAUGCUUGCAAGGCUUAAGUGAUGUGCAUUACCGAGAGGGCCCAGAGAUACCUCUCCGACAAUCGGAGUGACAAAUCCCAAUCUUGAAAUACGCCAACCCAACAAGUACCUUCGGAGACACCUGUAGAGCACCUUUAUAACCACCCAGUUACGUUGUGACGUUUGGUAGAACACAAAGUGUUCCUCCGGUAAACGGGAGUUGCAUAAUCUCAUAGUCAUAGGAACAUGUAUAAGUCAUGAAGAAAGCAAUAGCAACAUACUAAACGAUCGAGUGCUAAGAUAACGGAAUGGGUCAAUUCAAUCACAUCAUUCUCCUAAUGAUGUGAUCCCAUUAAUCAAAUGACAACUCAUGUCAAUGGCUAGGAAACAUAACCAUCUUUGAUCAAUGAGCUAGUCAAGUAGAGGCAUACUAGUGACACUCUGUUUGUCUAUGUAUUCACACAUGUAUCAAGUUUCCGGUUAAUACAAUUCUAGCAUGAAUAAUAAACAUUUAUCAUGAUAUAAGGAAAUAAAUAAUAACUUUAUUAUUGCCUCUAGGGCAUAUUUCUUCAGUCUCCCACUUGCACUAGAGUCAAUAAUCUAGUUCACAUCGCCAUGUCAUUUAACAUCAAUAGUUCACAUCACCAUGUGAUUAACACCCAUAGUUCACAUCGUCAUGUGACCAACACCCAAAGGGUUUACUAGAGUCAGUAAUCUAGUUUACAUCGCUAUGUGAUUAACACCCAAAGAGUACUAAGGUGUGAUCAUGUUUUGCUUGUGAGAUAAUUUUAGUCAACGGGUCUGUCACAUUCAGAUCCGUAAGUAUUUUGCAAAUUUCUAUGUCUACAAUGCUCUGCACGGAGCUACUCUAGCUAAUUGCUCCCACUUUCAAUAUGUAUCUAGACCGAGACUUAGAGUCAUCUAGAUUAGUGUCAAAACUUGCAUCGACAUAACCCUUUACGACGAACCUUUUGUCACUUCCAUAAUCGAGAAACAUAUCCUUAUUCCACUAAAGAUAAUUUUGACCGCUGUCCAGUGAUCUACUCCUAGAUCACUAUUGUACUCUCUUGCCAAAAUCAGUGUAGGGUAUACAAUAGAUCUGGUACACAGCAUGGCAUACUUUAUAGAACCUAUGGCCGAGGCAUAGGGAAUGACUUUCAUUCUUUUUCUAUCUUCUGUCGUGGUCGGGCUUUGAGUCUUACUCAAUUUCACACCUUGUAACACAGGCAAGAAACUCUUUCUUUGACUGUUCCAUUUUGAACUACUUCAAAAUCUUGUCAAGGUAUGUACUUAUUGAAAAAACUUAUCAAGCAUCUUGAUCUAUCUCUAUAGAUCUUGAUGCUCAAUAUGUAAGCAGCUUCACCGAUGUCCUUUCUUUGAAAAACUCCUUUCAAAUACUCCUUUAUGCUUUGCAGAAUAAUUCUACAUUAUUUCCGAUCAACAAUAUGUCAUUCACAUAUACUUAUCAGAAAUGCUGUAGUGCUCCCACUCACUUUCUUGUAAAUACAGGCUUCACCGCAAGUCUGUAUAAAACUAUAUGCUUUGAUCAACUUAUCAAAGCGUAUAUUCCAGCUCCGGGAUGCUUGCACCAGUCCAUAGAUGGAUCGGUAGAGCUUGCAUAUUUUGUUAGCACCUUUAGGAUUGACAAAACCUUCUGGUUGCAUCAUAUACAACUCUUCUUUAAUAAAUCCAUUAAGGAAUGCAGUUUUGUUUAUCCAUUUGUCAGAUUUCAUAAUCAUAAAAUGCGGCAAUUGCUAACAUGAUUCGGAUAGACUUAAGCAUCGCUACGGGUGAGAAGGUCUCAUCGUAGUCAAUCCCUUGAACUUGUCGAAAACCUUUUGCAACAAGUCAAGCUUUAUAGACAGUAACAUUACCGUCAGCGUCAGUCUUCUUCUUGACGAUCCAUUUAUUUUCAAUGGCUUGCCGAUCAUCGGGCAAGUCAACCAAAGUCCAUACUUUGUUCUCAUACGUGGAUCCCAUCUCGGAUUUCAUGGCCUCAAGCCAUUUUGCGGAAUCUGGGCUCACCAUCGCUUCUUCAUAGUUUGUAGGUUCGUCAUGGUCUAGUAACAUAACCUCCAGAACAGGAUUACCGUACCACUCUGGUGUGGAUCUUACUCUGGUUGACCUACGAGGUUCAGUAAUAACUUGAUCUGAAGUUUCAUGAUCAUCAUCAUUAACUUCCUCACUAAUUGGUGUAUGCGUCGCAGAAACUGGUUUCUGUGAUGAACUACUUUCCAAUAAGGGAGCAGGUACAAUUACCUCAUCAAGUUCUACUUUCCUCCCACUCACUUCUUUCGAGAGAAACUCCUUCUCCAGAAAAAUUCCGAAUUUAGCAACAAAAGUUUUUCCUUCGGAUCUGUGAUAGAAGGUGUACCCAACAGUUUCCUUUGGGUAUCCUAUGAAGACACAUUUCUCCGAUUUGGGUUCGAGCUUAUGAGGUUGAAGUUUUUUCACAUAAGCAUCGCAGCCCCAAACUUUAAGAAACCACAACUUUGGUUUCUUGCCAAACCACAGUUCAUAAGGCGUCGUCUCAACGGAUUUUGAUGGUGCCCUAUUUAACGUGAAUGCAGCCGUCUCUAAAGCAUAACCCCAAAACGAUAGCGGUAAAUCAGUAAGAGACAUCAUAGAUCGCACCAUAUAUCUAGUAAAGUACGAUUACGACGUUCGGACACACCAUUACGCUGUGGUGUUCCGGGUGGCGUGAGUUGCGAAACUAUUCCGCAUUGUUUCAAAUGAAGACCAAACUCAUAACUCAAAUAUUCUCCUCCACGAUCAGAUCGUAGAAAUUUUAUUUUCUUGUUACGAUGAUUUUCAACUUCACUCUGAAAUUCUUUGAACUUUUCAAAUGUUUCAGACUUAUGUUUCAUUAAGUAGAUAUACCCAUAUCUGCUCAAAUCAUCUGUGAAGGUGAGAAAAUAACGAUAUCCGCCACGAGCCUCAAUAUUCAUCGGACCACAUACAUGUGUAUGUAUGAUUUCCAACAAAUCUGUUGCUCUCUCCAUAGUUCCGGAGAACGGUGUUUUAGUCAUCUUGCCCAUGAGGCAAGGUUCGCAAGCAUCAAGUGAUUCAUAAUCAAGUGAUUCCAAAAUCCCAUCAGCAUGGAGUUUCUUCAUGCGCUUUACACCAAUAUGACCUAAACGGCAGUGCCACAAUUAAGUUGCACUAUCAUUAUUAACUUUGCAUCUUUUGGCUUCAUUAUUAUGAAUAUGUGUAUCACUACGAUCGAGAUCCAACAAACCAUUUUAUUGGGUGUAUAACCAUAGAAGGUUUUAUUCAUGUAAAUAGAACAACAAUUAUUCUCUAAUUUAAAUGAAUAACCGUAUUGCAACAAACAUGAUCAAAUCAUAUUCAUGCUCAACGCAAACACCAAAUAACACUUAUUUAGUUUCAACACUAAUCCCGAAAGUAUAGGGAGUGUGCGAUGAUGAUCAUAUCAAUCUUGGAACUACUUUCAACACACAUCGUCACCUCGCCUUUUACUAGUCUCUGUUUAUUCUGCAACUCCCGUUUCGAGUUACUACUCUUAGCAACUGAACCAGUAUCAAAUGCCGAGGGGUUGCUAUAAACACUAGUAAAGUAUACAUCAAUAACAUGUAUAUCCAAUAUACCUUUGUUCACUUUGCCAUCCUUCUUAUCCACCAAAUACUUGGGGUAGUUCCGCUUCCAGUGACCAGUCCCUUUGCAGUAGAAGCACAUAGUCUCAGGCUUAGGACCAGACUUAGGCUUCUUCACUUGAGCAGCAACUUGCUUGCCGUUCUUCUUGAAGUUCCCCUUCUAUCCUUUUGCCCUUUUCUUGAAACUAGUGGUCUUGUUAACCAUCAACACUUGAUGCUUUUUCUUGAUUUCUACCUUCAUGGAUUUCAUCAUCAUGAAAAGCUCGGGAAUUACUUUCAUCAUCCCUUGCAUACUAUAGUUCAUCACGAAGUUCUACUAACUUGUUGAUGGUGACUAGAGAAUUCUGUCAAUCACUAUUUUAUCUGGAAGAUUAACUCCCACUUGAUUCAAGCGAUUGUAGUACCCAGACAAUCUGAGCACAUGCUCACUGCUUGAGCUAUUCUCCUCCAUCUUUUAGCUGUAGAACUUGUUGGAGACUUCAUAUCUCUCAACUCGGGUAUUUGCUUGAAAUAUUAACUUCAACUCCUGGAACAUCUCAUAUGGUCCAUGACGUUCAAAACGUCUUUGAAGUCCCGAUUCUAAGCCGUUAAGCAUGGUGCACUAAACUAUCAAGUAGUCAUCAUAUUGAGCUAGCCAAACAUUCAUAACGUCUGCAUCUGCUCCUGCAAUAGGUCUGUCACCUAGUGGUGCAUCAAGGUCAUAAUUCUUCUGUGCAGCAAUGAGGAUAAUCCUCAGAUCACGGAUCCAAUCCGCAUCUUUGCUACUAACAUCUUUCAACAUAAUUUUUCUCUAGGAACAUAUCAAAAAUAAACACAGGGAAGCAACAACGCGAGCUAUUGAUCUACAACAUAAUUUGCAAAAUACUAUCAGGACUAAGUUCAUGAUAAAUUUAAGUUCAAUUAAUCAUAUUACUUAAGAACUCCCACUUAGAUAGACAUCCCUCUAAUCCUCUAAGUGAUCACGUGAUCCAUAUCAACUAAACCAUGUCCGAUCAUCACGUGAGAUGGAGUAGUUUCAAUGGUGAACAUCACUUAUGUUGAUCAUAUCUACUAUAUGAUUCACGCUCGACCUUUCGGUCUCAGUGUUCCGAGGCCAUAUCUGUUAUAUGCUAGGCUCGUCAAGUUUAACCUGAGUAUUCCGCGUGUGCAACUGUUUUGCACCCGUUGUAUUUGAACGUAGAGCCUAUCACACCCGAUCAUCACGUGGUGUCUCAGCACGAAGAAAUUUCGCAACGGUGCAUACUCAGGGAGAACACUUGUACCUUGAUAAUUAGUGAGAGAUCAUCUUAUAAAGCUACCGUCGAACUAAGCAAAAUAAGAUGUAUAAAAGAUAAACAUCACAUGCAAUCAAAAUAUGUGACAUGACAUGGCCAUCAUCUUGUGCCUUUGAUCUCCAUCUCCAAAGCAUCGUCAUGAUUUACAUCGUCACCGGCAUGACACCAUGAUCUCCAUCAUCUUGAUCUAUAUCAAUGUGUCAUCACAUGGUCGUCUCGCCAACUAUUGCUCUUGCAACUAUUGCUAUCGCAUAUCGAUAAAGUAAAGCAAUUAUUUGGCGCUUGCAUCUUAUGCAAUAAAGAGCCAACCAUAAGGCUUCUGCCAGUUGCCGAUAACUUCAACAAAACAUGAUCAUCUUAUACAACAACUUAUAUCUUAUCACGUCUUGACCAUAUCACAUCACAACAUGCCCUGCAAAACAAGUUAGACGUCCUCUACUUUGUUGUUGCAAGUUUUACGUGGCUGCUACGGGCUUAGCAAGAACCGUUCUUACCUACGCAUCAAAACCACAAUGAUAGUUUGUCAAGUUGGUGCUGUUUUAACCUUCGCAAGGACCGGGCGUAGCCACACUCGGUUCAACUAAAAUUGGAGAAACUAACACCCGCCAGCCACCUAUGUGCAAAGCACGUCGGUAGAACCAGUCUCGCGUAAGCGUACGCGUAAUGUCGGUCCGGGCCGCUUCAUCCAACAAUACCGCCGAACCAAAGUAUGGCAUGCUGGUAAGCAGUAUGACUUAUAUCGCCCACAACUCACUUGUGUUCUACUCGUGCAUAUAACAUCAACGCAUAAAACCAGGCUCGGAUGCCACUGUAGGGGAACACAGUAAUUUCAAAAAUUUCCUACGCACACGCAAGAUCAUGGUGAUGCAUAGCAACGAGAGGGGAGAGUGUUGUCCACGUACCCUCGUAGACCGAUAGCGGAAGCGUUAACACAACACGGUUGAUGUAGGCGUACGUCUUCACGAUCCGACCGAUCAAGUACCGAACGUACGGCACCUCCGAGUUCAGCACACGUUCAGCUCGAUGACGUCCCUCGAACUCCGAUCCAGCCGAGUGUUGAGGGAGAGUUUCGUCAGCACGACGACGUGGUGACGAUGAUGAUGUUCUACCGACGCAGGGCUUCACCUAAGCACCGCUACGAUAUUAUCGAGGUGUAAUAUGGUGGAGGGGGGGCACCGCACACGGCUAAGAGAUCAAUAGAUCAAUUGUUGUGUCUAUGGGGUGCCCCCUGCCCCCGUAUAUAAAGGAGCAAGGGGGGAGGCGGCCGGCCUAGGAGGAGGGCGCGCCAAGGGGGGAGUCCUACUCCCACCGGGAGUAGGACUCCUCCUUUCCUUGUUGGAGUAGGAGAAGGGAAGGGAGAAGGAGAAGGAAGGAAGGGGGCGCCCCCCUCCCUAGUCCAAUUCGGACUAGUCCAUGGGGAGGGGUGCGGCCACCCUUUGGGGCCUUUCUCUCCUUUCCCGUAUGGCCCAUUAAGGCCCAAUACGAAUUCCCGUAACUCUCCGGUACUCCGAAAAAUACCCGAAUCACUCGGAACCUUUCCGAUGUCCAAAUAUAGUCGUCCAAUAUAUCGAUCUUUACGUCUCGACCAUUUCGAGACUCCUCGUCAUGUCCCCGAUCUCAUCCGGGACUCCGAACUCCUUCGGUACAUCAAAACUCAUAAUAAAACUGUCAUCGUAACGUUAAGCGUGCGGACCCUACGGGUUCGAGAACUAUGUAGACAUGACCGAGACACGUCUCCGGUCAAUAGCCAAUAGCGGGACCUGGAUGCCCAUAUUGGCUCCCACAUAUUAUACGAAGAUCUUUAUCGAUCAAACCGCAUAACAACAUACGUUGUUCCCUUUGUCAUCGGUAUGUUACUUGCCCGAGAUUCGAUCGUCGGUAUCUUAAUACCUAGUUCAAUCUCGUUACCGGCAAGUCUCUUUACUCGUUCCGUAAUACAUCAUCUUGCAACAAACUCAUUAGUUGCAAUGCUUGCAAGGCUUAAGUGAUGUGCAUUACCGAGAGGGCCCAGAGAUACCUCUCCGACAAUCGGAGUGACAAAUCCCAAUCUCAAAAUACGCCAACCCAACAAGUACCUUCGGAGAAACCUGUAGAGCACCUUUAUAAUCACCCAGUUACGUUGUGACGUUUGGUAGCACACAAGGUGUUCCUCCAGUAAACGGGAGUUGCAUAGGAACAUGUAUAAGUCAUGAAGAAAGCAAUAGCAACAUACUAAACGAUCGAGUGCUAAGCUAACGGAAUGGGUCAAUUCAAUCACAUCAUUCUCCUAAUGAUGUGAUCCCAUUAAUCAAAUGACAACUCAUGUCAAUGGCUAGGAAACAUAACCAUCUUUGAUCAACGAGCUAGUCAAGUAGAGGCAUACUAGUGACACUCUGUUUGUCUAUGUAUUCACACAUGUAUCAAGUUUCCGGUUAAUACAAUUCUAGUAUGAAUAAUAAACAUUUAUCAUGAUAUAAGGAAAUAAAUAAUAACUUUAUUAUUGCCUCUAGGGCAUAUUUCCUUCAGUCAGUAGGUUGGCGUACAUGGAGGGUAAAGGAAAGCCCGUUUGUAGUUCAAUUCGUUAGAACCAAAUGGCACGUUGAGGAACCCAAAGCAACACACGAGGGAGGGAGAACAGGGCACAUGAUACGUCUUCAAUGUAUCUAUAAUUUUUGAUUGUUCCAUGUUGUUAUAUUAUCAUUCUUGGAUGUUUUACAAUCAUUUUAUAGCAACUUUAUAUCAUUUUUUGGACUAACCUAUUGACAUAGUGCCCAGUGUCAGUUGUUGUUUUUUGCUUGUUUUUUACAUCACAGAAUACAGUAUUAAAUGGAGUCCAAACGCAGCGAAACUUUUUGGAGAAUUUUUAUGGAACAGAAGGAACAACAUGGGCCAAAGAAGUACCAGAGGGGUGCCCCGAGGGGGGGCACAACCCACCUGGGCGCCCCGGCGCACCCUGGUGGGUCGUGCCCACCUUGAUGGCCUCCCGCACCGCCUCUUUGCCCUAUAUAUACCCACAUAUUUCAGAAGCCCUAGGGGAGUCGACGAAACACAAUUCCAGCCGUCGCAAGUUCCAGAACCACGAGAUCCAAUCUAGACACCAUCACGGAGGGGUUCAUCAUCCUCAUUGGUACCUCUCCGAUGAUGCGUGAGUAGUUCAUUGUAGACCUAUUGGUCCCUAGACAGUAGCUAGAUGGCUUCCUCUCUCUCUCUCUCUCUCUCUCUCUCUCUCUCUCUCUCUUGAUUCUCAAUACAAUGGUCUCUUGGAGAUCUAUUUGAUGUAACUCUUUUUGCGGUGUGUUUCUUGGGAUCCGAUGAACUUUGAGUUUAUGAUUAGAUCUAUUUAUCCAUGAAAGUUAUAUGAGUUUUGAUCUCUUAUAUGCAUGAUUAAUUAUAGCCUCGUAUUUCUUCUUCGAAUCUUUGGUUUAGUUAGGCCCGCUAGAUCGAUUUUUCUUGCCAUUAGAAGAGGUGCUUUGUGAUGGGUUCGAUCUUGCGGUGUUCUUUCCCAGUGACAGAAGGGGCAGCAAGACACGUAUUGAUCAUUGCUAUUAAGGAUAAUAAGAUGGAGUCUAUUCCUACAUGAAUAGAUCUUGUCUACAUCAUGUCAUCGUUCUUAUUGCAUUACUCCAUUUAUCCAUGAACUUAAUACACUAGAUGCAUGCUGGAUAGUGGUCAAUGUGUGGAGUAAUAGUAGUAGAUGCAGGCAGAGUCGGUCUACUAAUCUUGGGCGCGAUGCCUAUAUAUUGAUCAUUGCCUGGAUAUCAUCAUAAUUGUUUGAAGUUCUAUCAAUUGCCCAACGGUAUUUUUUUUACCCACCGUGUGCUAUUUCUUGAGAGAAGCCACUAGUGAAAUCUACGGCCCUCGGGUCUAGUCUUCAUCAUAUUUGCUUUGAGAUUGAUACGUCUCCAACGUAUCUAUAAUUUUUGAUUGUUCCAUGCUAUUAUAUUAUCUGUUUUGGAUGUUUUAUAUGCAUUAAGAUGCUAUUUUAUAUGAUUUUUGGGACUAACCUAUUAACCUAGAGCCCAGUGCCAGUUCCUGUUUUUCCUUGUUUUAGAGUUUCGCGAAAAAGGAAUACCAAACGGAGUCCAAAUGGAAUAAAACUUUCGCGAUGAUUUUUCUUGGACCAGAAGACACCAGGAGACUUGGAGUGCAAGUCCGAAGAGCCACGAGGCGGCCACAAGGGUGGAGGGCGCGCCCCCCAACCUUGUGGGCCCCUCGAUGACCCCUUGACCUAGAUCUUCCUCCUAUAUAUACUCUUAUUACCCAAAAACUACCAGGGGAGCCAUGAAACCACUUUUCCACCGCUGCAACCUUCUGUACCCGUGAGAUCCCAUCUAGGGGCCUUUUCCGGCGUCCUGCCGGAGGAGGAUUCGAUCACGGAGGGCUUCUACAUCAACACCAUUGCCUCUCCGAUGAAGCGUGAGUAGUUUACCACAGACCUACAGGUCCAUAGCUAGUAGCUAGAUGGCUUCUUCUCUCUCUUUGAUUCUCAAUACAAAGUUCUCCUCGAUGUUCUUGGAGAUCUUUUCGAUGUAAUACUCUUUUGCGGUGUGUUUGCCGAGAUCCGAUGAAUUGCGGAUUUAUGAUCAGCUUAUCUAUGAAUAUUAUUUGAUUCUUCUCUGAAUUCUUAUAUGCAUGAUUUGAUAUCUUUGCAAGUCUCUUCGAGCUAUCGAUUUGGUUUGGCCAACUAGAUUGGUUUUUCUUGCAAUGGGAGAAGUGCUUAGCUUUGGGUUCAAUCUUGUGGUGUCCUUUCCGAGUGAUAGUAGGGGCAGCAAGGCAGGCAUUGUAUUGUUGCCAUCGAGGAUAAAAAGAUGGGGUUUUCAUCAUAUUGCUUGAGUUAAUUCCUCUACAUCAUGUCAUCUUGCUUAAUGCGUUACUCCGUUCUUUAUGAACUUAAUACUCUAGAUGCAUGCUGGAUAGCGGUCGAUGUGUGGAGUAAUAGUAGUAGAUGCAUAAUCGUUUCGGUCUACUUGACACGGACAUGGUGCCUAUAUUCAUGAUCAUUGCCUUAGAUAUCAUCAUAACUUUGCGCUUUUCUAUCAAUUGCUCGACAGUAAUUUGUUCACCCACCGUAAUAAUUUCUAUCUUGAGAGAAGCCUCUAGUGAAACCUAUGGCCCCCGGUGUCGGUGUCAAAACCGGCCGAUCUCAGGUAGGGGGUCCCGAACUGUGCGUCUGAGGAUCGAAGGUAACAAGGGACACUGGGAACACGAUGUUUACCCAGGUUCGGGCUCUCUCGAUGGAGGUAAACCCCUACUUCCUGCUUGAUUUUGACUUUGAUGAGUAUAGGGGUUACAAGAGUUGAUCUACCUCGAGAUCGUAAUGGCUAAACCCUAGAUGUCUAGCCUAUAUGAAUUCUGAUAGCCUCUACGGACUAAACCCUCCGGUUUACAUAGACACCAGAGGGGCCUAGGGUUGUACAGAGUCGGUUUACAGAAGAAGGAAACUAUACACCCGGACGCCAACCUUGCCAUCCAUGCAAAGGAGAGUCCCAUCCAGACACGGGGAAAGGUCUUCUACCUUGUAUCUUCACGGCCCAUCAGUCCGGCCCAUAACACACAACCCGGACACCCAAGGACCCCUUAAUCCAGGACUCCCUCAGUAGCCCAUGAAAUUGCCUUCAAUGACGAUGUAGUAUCCGGCUUAUAUCUUCGGCUUUGCAAGGCGGGUUCUUCAUUCAUACUUCGGAUUGACAACAGUCUGGCUCUGACCUCGAUGUGCUGCCUUUAUGAUCCCUUCCUGAGGUCGCUUCGAUUUCCGCGCCGAAUGAAUACGAACGGGCCGUGUUUUUUUGCAAAUAAGCCCCUCACCACGCGCGGACGGCAUCUAUAUAAGGAGAUGUAGAUCCCCAAAUGCCAUCCCAUGUCGUGCAAAAGGAAAACCGUCAAGAUUAGCCACGAACAAAGCUUUCCAACAUGGCCAGCGCCCCAGGCUCUUCUUUGCGCCCCCAUGGCCCUCAAGAGGGUGAUUGGCAGAGUUGCUUCGUGCCUCAUCUUCAGCUGAGCCAACUCCAGACACAGGGCUAUCUUCCCCUCACAGAUCUAGUCCCUAUUCGAGCGGGACUGGCCUCAAUCGGCAACGAUGUGAUGUCCGAGAAUUUCCCCAACCCCAAUAAGGAGGAGAGAGUGUGCUUCGUCCAAUUCCUGCUGCGGGGCCUAGGAUUUCCAAUCCAUCCCUUUCUCAGGGGCAUAUUGGAAUUUUACGUCAUCCAACUGCACAACCUUACCCCAGGUUCGAUUCUGCACAUCUCAGGUUUCGUUGCCCUUUGCGAACUAUUCCUCAGCAUUGAGGCCCAUUUUGAAUUAUGGAAGAAGUCCUUUUGCCUCGUUCCUCGCCAUCGAGGAGACUCUAUAUUUGAAGUGGGUGGCGCCGAAGUAUGGCGCAUAGCCGGAUCCGGAUACCUCAUUUGAACUCCCAAAGAGGUGUACCAACAGUGGUCUUCGGAAUGGUUCUAUAUGGACGAUGUCCCACUGCCGGACCCAGUUCGGCGUGGCCUUCCUGAAUUUUCCAGUGCUCCUUUAAAUAAGCGUCUUAACUGGCGUCCCCGAAGUCCCAAGGAAGAAGACAGUGCUGAGAUAAAGAGGUUGGUCAGCAAGGUCAGGCUGCUAGCCCAUACCGAGCUCUCGAUAGUCGAGGUCAUGGCUAUUGCAAUAAAGAGGUGUGUCCAGCCUCUCCAAUCCAGAGUAACUCCCUUAUGGUGUUACAACGGAGAAGAUGGCGCGUCCCAUUACAGGCGGAAGGAUCCGGAUACCCCAGCCGAACUGGCCACAAUCUUGGCCGAUCUGUAUAAGGGUGAGAAAGAAGAUUUUCUCCGCUUAAACUGCCGGGAAGGCUACUCCAUGUACAACCCCAUUGAAUGGGUAAGAUUUUGAUCGUCUGUGUUAUUUUAUUGCUGUUACAGAUACCACUACAAAAAAAGACACAUCCGUGACAUUUUGGGCCGAACGAAAAUCUUUUCUGUCAUACUUAUGACACUUCUAUGACGAUAAUUGUGACAAAAUCCGGUAUCAUCAUAGAUGUGGUGGGGUCCUACUUCUAUGACAAAAGUGAAGGAAAUAUGCCCUAGAGGCAAUAAUAAAGUAUUAUUUAUUUCCUUGUAUCAUGAUAAAUGUUUAUUAUUCAUGCUAGAAUUGUAUUAACCGGAAACAUAAUACAUGUGUGAAUAUAUAGACAAACAGAGUGUCACUAGUAUGCCUCUACUUGACUAGCUCAUUAAUCAAAGAUGGUUAUGUUUCCUAGCCAUAGACAUAAGUUGUCAUUUGAUUAACGAGAUCACCUCAUUAGGAGAAUGACGUGAUUGACUUGACCCAUUCAGUUAGCUUAGCACCCGAUCGUUUAGUAUGUUGCUAUUGCUUUCUUCAUGACUUAUACAUGUUCCUCUGACUAUGAGAUUAUGCAACUCCCGUUUACCGGAGGAACACUUUGUGUGCUACCAAACGUCACAACGUAACUGGGUGAUUAUAAAGGUGCUCUACAGGUGUCUCCAAAGGUACUUGUUGGGUUGGCGUAUUUCGAGAUUGGGAUUUGUCACUCCGAUUGUCGGAGAGGUAUCUCUGGGCUCACUCGGUAAUGCACAUCACUAUAAGCCUUGCAAGCAUUGUGACUAAUGAGUUUGUUGCAAGAUGAUGUAUUACGGAACGAGUAAAGAGACUUGCCGGUAACGAGAUUGAACUAGGUAUUAAGAUACCGACGAUCGAAUCUCGGGCAAGUAACAUACCGAUGACAAAGGGAACAACGUAUGUUGUUAUGCGGUCUGACCGAUAAAGAUCUUCGUAGAAUAUGUGGGAGCCAAUAUGGGCAUCCAGGUCCCGCUAUUGGUUAUUGACCGGAGACGUGUCUCGGUCAUGUCUACAUAGUUCUCGAACCCGUAGGGUCCGCACGCUUAACGUUACGAUGACAGUUUUAUUGAGUUUUGAUGUACCGAAGGAGUUCGGAGUCCCGGAUGAGAUCGGGGAUAUGACGAGGAGUCUCGAAAUGGCCGAGACGUAAAGAUCGAUAUAUUGGACGACUAUAUUCGGACUUCGGAAAGGUUCCGAGUGAUUCGGGUAUUUUUCGGAGUACCGGAGAGUUACGGGAAUACGUAUUAGGCCUUAUUGGGCCAUACGGGAAAGAAGGAAAAUGUCCUCAAGGGUGGCCGCACCCCUCCCCUUGGUCUGGUCCGAAUUGGACUAGGGAAGGGGGGCGCCCCCUUCCUUCCUUCUCUUUUUCCCUUCCUCUUUUCCUAUUCCAUAUGGGAGGUGGAAUCCUACUAGGACUAGGGAGUCCUAGUAGGACUCCACACUUGGUGCGCCCCCUCCUAGGGCCGGCCUCCUCCUCCCUUGCUCCUUUAUAUACGGGGGCAGGGGGCACCCCAGAGACCCAACAAUUGAUCCUUGAGAUCUCUUAGCCGUGUGCGGUGCCCCCCUCCACCAUAUUACACCUCGAUAAUACCGUUGCGGAGCUUAGGCGAAGCCCUGCGUCGGUGGAACAUCAUCAUCGUCACCACGGCGUCGUGCUGACGAAACUCUUCCUCAACACUCGGCUGGAUCGGAGUUUGAGGGACGUAAUCGAGCUGAACGUGUGUAGAACUCGGAGGUGCCGUGCGUUCGGUACUUGAUCGGUCGGAUCGUGAAGACGUACGACUACAUCAACCGCGUUGUGAUAACGCUUCCGCUGUCGGUCUACGAGGGUACGUGGACAACACUCUCCCCUCUCAUUGCUAUGCAUCACCAUGAUCUUGCGUGUGCGUAGGAUUUUUUUUUGAAAUUACUACGUUCCCCAACAGUGGCAUCCGAGCCUGGUUUUAUGCGUUGAUGCUAUGCACGAGUAGAACACAAGUGAGUUGUGGGCGAUAUAAGUCAUACUGCUUACCAGCAUGUCAUACUUUGGUUCAGCGGUAUUGUGAGAUGAAGCGGCCCGGACCGACAUUACGCGUACGCUUACGCGAGACUGGUUUCACCGUUCGGAGCACUCGUUGCUUAAAGGUGACUGCCGGGUGUCUGUCUCCCUCAUUUUAGUUGAACCGAGUGUGGCUACGCCCGGUCCUUGCGAAGGUUAAAACAACACCAACUUGACAAACUAUCGUUGUGGUUUUGAUGCGUAGGUAAGAACGGUUCUUGCUAAGCCCGUAGCAGCCACGUAAAAGAUGCAACAACAAAGUAGAGGACGUCUAACUUGUUUUUGCAGGGCAUGUUGUGAUGUGAUAUGGUCAAGACAUGAUGUGAUAUAAUGUGUUGUAUGAGAUGAUCAUGUUUUGUAACCGAGUUAUCGGCAACUGGCAGGAGCCAUAUGGUUGUCGCUUUAUUGUAUGAGAUGCAAUCGCCAUGUAAUAGUUUUACUUUAUCACUAAGCGGUAGCGAUAGUCGUAAAAGCAAUAAGUUGGCGAGACGACAACGAUACUAUGAUGGAGAUCAAGGUGUCGAGCCGGUGACGAUGGUGAUCAUGACGGUGCUUCGGAGAUGGAGAUCACGAGCACGGUGCUUCGGAGAUGGAGAUCACGAGCACGGUGCUUCGGAGAUGGAGAUCACAAGCACAAGAUGAUGAUGGCCAUAUCAUAUCACUUAUAUGGAUUGCAUGUGAUGUUAAUCCUUAAUGCAUCUUAUCUUGCUUUGAUUGACGGUAGCAUUAUAAGAUGAUCUCUCACUAAAAUUUCAAGAUAAAAGUGUUCUCCCUGAGUAUGCACCGUUGCAAAAGUUCUUCGUGCUGAGACACCACGUGUUAAUCGGGUGUGAUAGGCUCUACGUUCAAAUACAACGGGUGCAAAACAGUUGCACACGCGGAAUACUCAGGUUAAACUUGACGAGCCUAGCAUAUACAUAUAUGGCCUCGGAACACAAAGACCGAAAGGUCGAGCGCGAAUCAUAUAGUAGAUAUGAUCAACAUAGUGAUGUUCACCAUUGAAACUACUCCAUCUCACGUGUUAAUCGGACAUGGUUUAGUUGCUUUGGAUCACGUAAUCACUUAGAUGAUUAGAGGGAUGUCUAUCUAAGUGGGAGUUCUUAAGUAAUAUGAUUAAUUGAACUUAAAUUUAUCAUGAACUUAGUCCUGAUAGUAUUUGGCAAAUUAUGUUGUAGAUCAAUAGCUCGCGUUGUUGCUUCCCUGUUUUAUUUUGAUAUAUUCCUAGAGAAAAUUAUGUUGGAAGAUGUUAGUAGCAAAGAUGCGGAUUGGAUCCGUGAUCUGAGGAUUAUCCUCAUUGCUGCACAGAAAAAUUAUGUCCUUGAUGCACCGCUAGGUGACAGACUUAUUGCAGGAGCAGAUGCAGACGUUAUGAACGUUUGGCUAGCUCAAUAUGAUGACUACUUGAUAGUUUAGUGCACCAUGCUUAACGGCUUAGAAUCGGGACUUCAAAGACGUUUUUAACGUCAUGGACCAUAUAAGAUGUUCCAGGAGUUGAAGUUAAUAUUUCAAGCAAAUACCCGAGUUGAGAGAUAUGAAGUCUCCAACAAGUUCUAUAGCUAAAAGAUGGAGGAGAAUCGCUCAACUAGUGAGCAUGUGCUCAGAUUGUCUGGGUACUACAAUCGCUUGAAUCAAGUGGGAGUUAAUCUUCCAGAUAAAAUAGUGAUUGACAGAAUUAUCUAGUCACCAUAACCAAGUUAGUAGAACUUCGUGAUGAACUAUAGUAUGCAAGGGAUGACGAAAGUAAUUCCCGAGCUCUUCGUGAUGCUGAAAUCGACGAAGGUAGAAAUCAAGAAAAACAUCAAGUGUUGAUGGUUGACAUGACCACUUCAAGUGUUGAUGGUUGACGAGACCACUAGUUUCAAGAAAAGGGCAAAGGGAUAGAAGGGGAACUUCAAAAAGAACGGCAAGCAAGUUGCUACUCAAGUGAAGAAGCCCAAGUCUGUACCUAAGCCUGAGACUAAGUGCUUCUACUGCAAAGGGACUGGUCACUGGAAGCGGAACUACCCCAAGUAUUUGGUGGAUAAGAAAGAUGGCAAAGUGAACAAAGGUAUAUUGGAUAUACAUGUUAUUGAUGUGUACUUACUAGUGUUUAUAGCAACCCCUCAGUAUUUGAUACUGGUUCAGUUGCUAAGAGUAGUAACUCGAAACGGGAGUUGCAGAAUAAACAGAGACUAGUAAAAGGCGAGGUGACGAUGUGUGUUGGAAGUAGUUCCAAGAUUGAUAUGAUCAUCAUCGCACACUCCCUAUACUUUCGGGAUUAGUGUUGAAACUAAAUAAGUGUUAUUUGGUGUUUGCGUUGAGCAUGAAUAUGAUUUGAUCAUGUUUAUUGCAAUACGGUUAUUCAUUUAAGUUAGAGAACAAUUGUUGUUCUGUUUACAUGAAUAAAAACCUUCUAUGGUAAUACACACCAACGAAAAUGGUUUGUUGGAUCUCGAUCGUAGUGAUACACAUAUUCAUAAUAAUGAAGCCAAAAGAUGCAAAGUUAAUAAUAAUAGUGCAACUUAUUUGUGGCACUGCCGUUUAGGUCAUAUUGGUGUAAAGCGCAUGAAGAAACUCCAUACUGAUGGGAUUUUGGAAUCACUUGAUGCUUGCGAACCGUGGCUCAUGGGCAAGAUGACUAAAACGCCGUUCUCCGGAACUAUGGAGAGAGCAACAGAUUUGUUGGAAAUCAUACAUACAGAUGUAUGUGGUCCGAUGAAUAUUGAGGCUCGUAGCGGGUAUGAUUAUUUUCUGACCUUCACACAUGAUUUGAGCAGAUAUGGGUAUAUCUACUUAAUGAAACAGAAGUCUGAAACAUUUGAAAAGUUCAUAUAAUUUCAGAGUUAAGUAGAAAAUCAUCGUAACAAGAAAAAUAAAGUUUCUACGAUUUGAUCGUGGAGAAGAGUAUUUUAGUUACGAGUUUGGCCUUCAGUUAAAACAAUGUGAAAUAGUUUCACUACUCACGCCACCUGGAACACCACAGCAUAAUGGUGUGUCCGAACGUCAUAACCGUACUUUAUUGGAUAUAGUGCAAUCUAUGAUGUCUCUUACCAAUUUACCACUAUCGUUUUAGGGUUAUGCAUUAGAGAUAGCUACAUUCACGUUAAAUAGGGCACCAUCAAAAUCCGUUGAGACGACGCCUUAUGAACUGUGGUUUAGCAAGAAACCAAAGUUGUCGUUUCUUAAAGUUUGGGGUUGCGAUGCUUAUGUGAAAAAGUUUCAUCCUGAUAAGCUCAAACCCAAAUCAGAGAAAUGUGUCUUCAUAGGAUACCCAAACGAGACAGUUGGGUACACCUUCUAUCACAGAUCCGAAGGCAAGACAUUCGUUGCUUAGUAUGGAUCCUUUCUAGAGAAGGAGUUUCUCUCGAAAGAAGUGAGUGGGAGGAAAGUAGAACUUGAUGAGGUAACUGUACCUGCUCCCUUAUUGGAAAGUAGUUCAUCACAGAAAUCUGUUCCUGUGACUUCUACACCAAUUAGUGAGGAAGCUAAUGAUGAUGAUCAUGUAACUUCAGAUCAAGUUACUACCAAACCUCGUAGGUAAACCAGAGUAAGAUCCGCACCAGAGUGGUACGGUAAUCCUGUUCUGGAGGUUAUGUUACUAGACCAUGACGAACCUACGAACUAUGAAGAAGCGAUGGUGAGCCCAGAUUCCGCAAAAUGGCUUGAGGCCAUGAAAUCUGAGAUGAGAUCCAUGUAUGAGAACAAAGUGUGGACUUUGGUUGACUUGCCCGAUGAUCGGCAAGCAAUUGAGAAUAAAUGGAUCGUCAAGAGGAAGACGGACGCUGAUAGUAGUGUUACUAUCUACAAAGCUAGAUUUGUCGCAAAAAGGUUUUUCGACAAGUUCAAGGUGUUGACUACAAUGAGAGUUUCUCACUCGUAUCUAUGCUUAAAAUCUGUCUGAAUCAUGUUAGCAAUUGCCGCAUUUUAUGAAAUAUGGCAAAUGGAUAAACAAAACUACAUUCCUUAAUGGAUUUAUUAAAGAAGAGUUGUAUAUGAUGCAACCAGAAGGUUUUGUCAAUCCUAAAGGUGCUAACAAAAUAUGCAAGCUCCAGCGAUCCAUCUAUGGACUGGUGCAAGCAUCUCGGAGUUGGAAUAUACACUUUGAUAAGUUGAUCAAAGGAUAUAGUUUUAUACAGACUUGCGGUGAAGCCUGUAUUUACCAGAAAGUGAGUGGGAGCACUACAGCAUUUCUGAUAAGUAUAUGUGAAUGACAUAUUGUUGAUCGGAAAUAAUGUAGAAUUAUUCUGCAAAGCAUAAAGGAGUGUUUGAAAGGAGUUUUUCAAAGAAAGACCUCGGUGAAGUUGCUUACAUAUUAAGCAUCAAGAUCCAUAGAGAUAGAUCAAGACGCUUGAUAAGUUUUUCAAUGAGUACAUACCUUAACAAGAUUUUGAAGUGGUUCAAAAUGGAACAGUCAAAGAAAGAGUUUCUUGCCUGUGUUACAAGGUGUGAAAUUGAGUAAGACUCAAAGCCCGACCACAGCAGAAUAUAGAAAAAGAAUGAAAAUCAUUCCCUAUGCCUCGGCCAUAGGUUCUAUAAAGUAUGCCAUACUAUGUACCAGAUCUAUUGUAUACCCUACACUGAUUUUAGCAAGGGAGUACAAUAGUGAUCUAGGAGUAGAUCACUGGACAGCGGUCAAAAUUAUCCUUAGUGGAAUAAGGAUAUGUUUCUCGAUUAUGGAGGUGACAAAAAGAGUUCGUCGUAAAGAGUUACGUCAAUGCAAAUUUUGACACUGAUCCAGAUGACUCUAAGUCUCAAUCUGGAUACAUAUUAAAAGUGGGAGCAAUUAGCUAGAGUAGCUCCGUACUGAGCAUUGUAGACAUAGAAAUUUGCAAAAUACUUACGGAUCUGAAUGUGACAGACCCGUUGACUAAAAUUAUCUCACAAGCAAAACAUGAUCACACCUUAGUACUCUUUGGGUGUUAAUCACAUAGCGAUGUGAACUAGAUUACUGACUCUAGUAAACCCUUUGGGUGUUGAUCACAUGACGAUGUGAACUAUGGGUGUUAAUCACAUGGUGAUGUGAACUAUUGAUGUUAAAUCACAUGGCGAUGUGAACUAGAUUAUUGACUCUAGUGCAAGUGAGAGACUGAAGGAAAUAUGCCCUAGAGGCAAUAAUAAAGUAUUAUUUAUUUCCUUGUAUCAUGAUAAAUGUUUAUUAUUCAUGCUAGAAUUGUAUUAACCGGAAACAUAAUACAUGUGUGAAUAUAUAGACAAACAGAGUGUCACUAGUAUGCCUCUACUUGACUAGCUCAUUAAUCAAAGAUGGUUAUGUUUCCUAGCCAUAGACAUAAGUUGUCAUUUGAUUAACGAGAUCACCUCAUUAGGAGAAUGACGUGAUUGACUUGACCCAUUCAGUUAGCUUAGCACCCGAUCGUUUAGUAUGUUGCUAUUGCUUUCUUCAUGACUUAUACAUGUUCCUCUGACUAUGAGAUUAUGCAACUCCCGUUUACCGGAGGAACACUUUGUGUGCUACCAAACGUCACAACGUAAAUGGGUGAUUAUAAAGGUGCUCUACAGGUGUCUCCAAAGGUACUUGUUGGGUUGGCGUAUUUCGAGAUUAGGAUUUGUCACUCCAAUUGUCGGAGAGGUAUCUCUGGGCUCACUCGGUAAUGCACAUCACUAUAAGCCUUGCAAGCAUUGUGACUAAUGAGUUAGUUGCGGGAUGAUGUGUUAUGGAACGAGUAAAGAGACUUGCCGGUAACGAGAUUGAACUAGGUAUCGAGAUACCGACGAUCAAAUCUCGGGCAAGUAACAUACCGGUGACAAAGGGAACAACGUAUGUUGUUAUGCGGUCUGACCGAUAAAAAUCUUCGUAGAAUAUGUGGGAGCCAAUAUGGGCAUCCAGGUCCCGCUAUUGGUUAUAGACCGGAGACGUGUCUCGGUCAUGUCUACAUAGUUCUCGAACCCGUAGGGUCCGCACGCUUAACGUUACGAUGACAGUUUUAUUGAGUUUUGAUGUACCGAAGGAGUUCGGAGUCCCGGAUGAGAUCGGGGAUAUGACUAGGAGUCUCGAAAUGGCCGAGACGUAAAGAUCGAUAUAUUGCACGACUAUAUUCGGACUUCGGAAAGGUUCCGAGUGAUUCGGGUAUUUUUCGGAGUACCGGAGAGUUACGGGAAUACGUAUUAGGCCUUAUUGGGCCAUACGGGAAAGAAGGAAAAGGGCCUCAAGGGUGGCCGCACCCCUCCCCUUGGUCUGGUCCGAAUUGGACUAGGGAAGGGGGGUGCCCCCUUCCUUCCUUCUCUUUUUCCCUUCCUCUUUUCCUAUUCCAUAUGGGAGGUGGAAUCCUACUAGGACUAGGGAGUCCUAGUAGGACUCCACACUUGGUGCGCCCCCUCCUAGGGCCGGCCUCCUCCUCCCUUGCUCCUUUAUAUACGGGGGCAGGGGGCACCCCAGAGACACAACAAUUGAUCCUUGAGAUCUCUUAGCCGUGUGCGGUGCCCCCCUCCACCAUAUUACACCUCGAUAAUACCGUUGCGGAGCUUAGGCGAAGCCCUGCGUCGGUGGAACAUCAUCAUCGUCACCACGCCGUCGUGCUGACGAAACUCUCCCUCAACACUCGGCUGGAUCGGAGUUCGAGGGACGUCAUCGAGCUGAACGUGUGUAGAACUCGGAGGUGCCGUGCGUUCGGUACUUGAUCGGUCGGAUCGUGAAGAUGUACGACUACAUCAACCGUGUUGUGAUAACGUGGACAACACUCUCCCCUCUCGUUGCUAUGCAUCACCAUGAUCUUGCGUGUGCGUAGGAAUUUUUUUUGAAAUUACUACGUUCCCCAACAAAAAGAUCAUGACAGAAAAUGGGCUUUUCGUCCUGGGCGGGCCGGAGACGCAGCUGCAUGACAUUAUUUGGGCCGUCCAUGACGGAAAAAACCGUUGUAGAAGCGAGGGCGCGGAAAAUAUCGAGGAAUCCCCGGUUACGGUGGGUGGUCGGGGGCCGAGCGAAGCGCGUUUCUCUCGUACGUACGCGCGUGUGUGCGAGGCGUUGGGCUCUAACUGAACCCGAGCGAUUACACUGCAGGCUACGCGUUACUGAACCCGAGCGAUCGAUCGAUGGCUGAUAACUGAACCCGAUCGAGCGAUUCCUUCGCUACUGCUGCUAACUGAAGCCGAUCGAUGCUGCCUCUGGAUGAACAGUGAGCGUUGCUGGGGGGUUUGGAUGAACAGUUCCUGGUGGGGGUGGAUGAACAGGACCCCGUGGCGUUGCCUCUGGAUGAACAGUGAGCGUUGCUGGGGGGUUUGGAUGAACAGUUCCCGGUGGGAGUGGAUGAACAGGACCCCGAUCGUUCGAGCCGGUUGGGGCUGGAUGAACAGGACCCCGUGGAGGGCAGGAUGAACAGGACCACCCCGUGGAGGGCAGGAUGAACAGUAGACGGUGGAGGGCUAGAUGAACAGUAGCCCGUGGAGGGGUGGUUGAACAGGAGCCCGUGGAGAGGGCUGGUUGAACAGUAGCUGGUGGAGUAGCGCGCGGUGGAGGCUGGAUGAACAGGAGCCCGUGGAUGAACAGUCGCAGGUGGAGGCUGGAGGAGGUCGACGGUGGAUGAACAGUAGCCCGUGGAGGCUGGAGGGGGUCGAUGGUGGAGAUGAACAAUAUCCCGUGGAGUCCCGUUUUCCGGUACGCCACACCCCUCCCGAUGAACAGGACCCCCGUUUCGACCGUAGCGCUCCAACACAAGUCCGUUUCCUCCGUUUUGCAGUACGCCACACCACUCCCGAUCAACAGGACCCCCGUUGCGACCGUAGGAGGUCCGUUUCCUCUAUUUUGCGGUACGCCAGACCCCUCCCGAUGAAUAGGAUCCCGUUUCGAACGUGGCCGGUCGAACACAAGGCCAUUUCCUCCAUUCUGUGGCACGCCAGGCCUCGUUUCCAUCGGCUGUUCCGUCCAAGCCGGUUGGCUCCCACGCGUUCCGUUUUCUCCCGAUGAACACGACGCAUUCCGUUGCCUCCCCAUGAACACGACGACGAUGUUGUUUCUCUGUUCCGACCCAGCCAUGUACACGAGCCCUGGCCGUACGUACGCGCGAGUAGGCUUUCGAGAUCCCGUCCGUAUGUACAUACGUGGAUGUAUUUACUUUCUUGCACCCUGGCCGCUGUACGUACGUGUACAUGCUACGUGUGCGCCUCUACUAUGACACGUGCGCACCUCUACAUUGAUCAGUAUGUACGUACACGUUCGCGACCAAAAUGACAACGCUACGUACGCUUCGACCAGGUGGGUCCCGACUGUCAGGCACUUCCUUGCCUGCGAAGAUGUAGCUGGUGGGUCCUAGCAGUCAGGGGGGCGAAUCAUUUUUUUGCCCGGACGCACUUCCUUGCAUGGGAAGAUGUAGCUGGUGGGUCCCAGCAGUCAGGGGGAAACAUUUUUUCGCGAAAUACGAUGGCCCGUCCGGUGGGUCCCCGCUGUCAGGUGGAGGAAUAAUUAUUUUGCGCGUAAUAAGGAGGCACUUCCUUACUGCGGCCGUGGACCCAACUGUCAGCCUCUCCACGUACAGUCCACAUCCAAUGGAAGCCGUUCCUUAACCACGUUGACCACGCCGCGCCGAGAGCACCAGGGCGGUGGACGGCGGCGAGGCCUAGGAAGGGGACGACGCGGAGCCGGGGAAAACGGGGCAGUGGAAGCCCGCGCGGAGAGGAGUACGAGGGUUCACUGGUUCGGUUGCGGUGUGAGGCUGCCGUCACCGCAGGGCCUGGCCAGCGGUGAGAAUAGUAGGGGGCGGUGAGGCCUCCGCGGCAGCACAGCCGGCCACGGGAGGCAGGAGCAUGCGGCACGACCGGCGCUGCUUUGGACGGCUGGAGCAACAAGACCAGAGGUUGAAGAAGCACUACGGCCGUUGGAUGGUGCUACCUCUUGAGCACUGCGUUUGUUUUCCCUUGAAGAGGAAAGGGUGAUGCAGCAAAGUAGCGUAAGUAUUUCCCUCAGUUUUUGAGAACCAAGGUAUCAAUCCAGUAGGAGGCCACGCACGAGUCCCUCGCACCUACACAAACAAAUAAAUCCUCGCAACCAACGCGGUAAGGGGUUGUCAAUCCCUACACGGUCACUUACGAGAGUGAGAUCUGAUAGAUAUGAUAGGAUAAUAUUUUUGGUAUUUUUAUGAUAAAGAUGCAAAGUAAAAUAGAAGCAAAAUAAAAGGCAACGGAAAUAACUUGUUGAUGGGAGAUUAAUAUGAUGGAAAAUAGGCCCGGGGGCCAUAGGUUUCACUAGUGGCUUCUCUCGAGGGCAUAAGUAUUUACGGUGGGUGAACAAAUUACUGUUGAGCAAUUGACAGAAUUGAGCAUAGUUAUGAGAAUAUCUAGGUAUGAUCAUGUAUAUAGGCAUCACGUUCGAGACAAGUAGACCGACUCCUGCCUGCAUCUACUACUAUUACUCCACACAUCGACCGCUAUCCAGCAUGCAUCUAGAGUAUUAAGUUCAUAAGAACAGAGUAACGCUUUAAGCAAGAUGACAUGAUGUAGAGGGAUAAACUCAUGCAAUAUGAUAUAAACCCCAUCUUGUUAUCCUCGAUGGCAACAAUACAAUACGUGCCUUGCUGCCCCUACUGUCACUAGGAAAGGACACCGCAA